rnacentral:lncRNA from 1 species
UGGGUGCAGAUCAACAAGCAGAAGCCCAUCUGGCUCCGCAAGCCGGAGGAGAUCAGCAAGGAGGAGUACGCGUCCUUCUACAAGAGCCUCACCAACGACUGGGAGGACCAUCUCGCCGUGAAGCACUUCUCCGUGGAGGGCCAGCUGGAGUUCAAGGCCGUGCUCUUCGUGCCCCGCCGCGCCCCCUUCGACCUCUUCGACACCCGCAAGAAGAUGAACAACAUCAAGCUCUACGUGCGCCGCGUCUUCAUCAUGGACAACUGCGAGGAGCUGAUCCCGGAGUGGCUGGGCUUCGUCAAGGGCGUGGUGGACUCCGACGACCUCCCCCUCAACAUCUCCAGGGAGACCCUGCAGCAGAACAAGAUCCUCAAGGUGAUCCGCAAGAACCUGGUGAAGAAGUGCAUCGAGCUCUUCUUCGAGAUCGCCGAGAACAAGGAGGACUACACCAAGUUCUACGAGGCCUUCUCCAAGAACCUGAAGCUGGGCGUGCACGAGGACUCGCAGAACCGCGCCAAGCUCGCCGACCUGCUCCGGUACCACUCCACCAAGAGCGGCGACGAGACGACGAGCCUCAAGGACUACGUGACCCGGAUGAAGGAAGGGCAGAAGGACAUCUACUACAUCACCGGCGAGAGCAAGAAGGCGGUGGAGAACUCGCCGUUCCUGGAGCGGCUCAAGAAGCGCGGCUACGAGGUGCUCUUCAUGGUGGACGCCAUCGACGAGUACGCCGUCGGGCAGCUCAAGGAGUACGACGGCAAGAAGCUCGUCUCCGCCACCAAGGAAGGGCUCAAGCUGGAAGAGGAGACCGAGGAAGAGAAGAAGCGGCGGGAGGAGAAGAAGGCGGCGUUCGAGGGGCUCUGCAAGACCAUCAAGGACAUCCUGGGCGACCGCGUGGAGAAGGUGGUCGUCUCGGAGCGCAUCGUGGACUCGCCGUGCUGCCUGGUCACCGGCGAGUACGGGUGGACGGCCAACAUGGAGCGGAUCAUGAAGGCGCAGGCGCUGCGGGACAGCAGCAUGGGAGCCUACAUGUCGAGCAAGAAGACGAUGGAGAUCAACCCGGAGAACGGCAUCAUGGAGGAGCUGAGGAAGCGGGCGGAGGCGGACAAGAACGACAAGUCGGUCAAGGACCUGGUGCUGCUGCUCUUCGAGACGGCGCUGCUCACCUCCGGGUUCAGCCUCGACGACCCCAACAUGUUCGCCGCCAGGAUCCACAGGAUGCUCAGGCUCGGGCUCAACAUUGAUGAGGAGGCCGCUGCGGAGGAUGACGCCGACAUGCCGGCCCUGGAGGAGGAGGGCGCCGAGGAGAGCAAGAUGGAGGAGGUCGACUGAAGAAGAAAAAGAUGCAGAGUACUCGAGUCGUUGCGAGUUGAGGUUCAGAGUUGGUCGCUGUCUCUCAGAGAGUUGUCUUCAGUGUCGUCAUGUCGAUUUGAGUCGAGUCGAUGUGUGAAAUUGUGUCUGAAACUGAAGGUUCGAUCUAGUCUUUUGCAAUGAUCAUCUGCUUGUCUAGUGAACAUUUUAAGUGAUCCAAAGGCUCGGGCCAUCUUUCGCGACCCGGCCAUACGGCUUGGGGCAAGUAUUCUCCGGUUCCCUCCCAACAGCAGCCGGUUUGAUUCAAGUUGACGUAGAUUUUUUUUGUUCACCUGAACAUAUGACCAUUUCAGAAACAGUUUUCUGAAGAAUUAUACUGAACCUGCACAGUCACAAAGUCACAGUUACCUUUUUUUUUUUUGCGAGCACACAGUGAGCACCGGCACGCGAGAAAGAGAAGAAAAGGUCGCGAGAUGGGCCCCCGUGAAAGGCGGAGCUCGGCUUGGGCCUGAAGCACACCUAAAGCGCAGCCCACCAGUUAGCCCACUGCGGGCCUCCCUAGCCCGGCAUACGAAUGGAAAUCGCACACAGACCGCAGCAGCCCGCCGCCGCCGGCCGCCGCAGCUACCCCCCCACCGUCCUUCGCUCGCCUCUCCCGCAGCGCUAGGUCACGGCCUCGCCGUGAAGCCGCCUGACUGUCUCCCCGACUCACACGACUCAGCCGCCAAUUCUCCAAGCUCCAGCAGGCAGCCCCUCCGGCAGGGGGCCGUCCCCAUGCCGUGACCCUCCCGGACUCCCUCACUCCCACAGACCGUCCCCAUGUCGCCUCUCCGGCAGGCGGGCCGCGCUCUACUCCUCCCGGCGCCGGCAGCCCCGUCCGUGUCGAGCUCCCGCUCGCGCCUCCAGCAAUGGGAGUACUUCCCCGGGCUUCCUUUUGCCGGAGGGCAGCGCCACGAAUCCCUCUUCUCUCCCAGCCGCCAUUGUCGCCUGCCUCUCGGCUGGGCUGGCCUCAGCGCUCGGAUGCUUUCGACUUGUCUCGGUAAGGGCCCCAGGCUUGCGGAUUCGUUUGUUGUGUGCUAGACUGGUAGUCGGAUCCCAUCAGCUCAAAUUCGUAACCGCUGUUUCUAGGCUGGUGACCUGGUUCUACUAAUCACUAUGCUUGCAGUAUGAUUGUGUUGGUGCCGAUACUAAACAGGAAGCAAUAUGAAAAUCCGAUCACAUUCGUGUGCCUGUCAGCUGGCGGUAGACUGUGAUUUCCUUCCAUUUGGAAUAUAUAACGUGUACGAAUUUGAUAUUCUAUGGUUGCUAAAUUUGAUUAUGAGAAGCUCCAUUGUGAAUUGUACCCACGGUUUUUUAUUGUAGCCUACAAGUCAGGUGGUUCUUUGUGUAACCAAUGUUCCUUUGACUGCAGAGCAUCAGGAUUUUACAUGGAGUAGUAGUUUGGGUGCUAGAAUGGCGCAAAUGGAUAUUGUGAAUGCUCUUCGUAAAGGUGAUCGGCAGCGAGCAUCUGUUAUGCUCUCGAAUCUUCGACGAACCAAAGAAGCAUUAACUUCAGAAGAUAUUUCUGAUAUAUUGGAGUACUGUGCAGAAGCACCUGAUCCUUUGGUAAAUCUACUGUCAGAUGUAUAUUGUGCUAAAGCAGAGUGUGUGGUAUAGUCAUUUUGAUUAGAGCUCUUUUUGGUGCUUUUACAAUAUGUCUAGUUUGUUAUGGAAACUUUGGAGCUCAUGGAGGAGAAUGCCAUUGGUCUUAGUAAAAACAACUAUAGAUCUGUCACUCGAGCACUCAGCAAAGGAGGGCAUAUGAAGGAGGUACGCCAUACUUCUCAUAAUCCAAGUGAAUUUUUGUCUUUGUAACGUUAGAUGGUUUGGGAGUAUAAUUAUAUGAGUGCACUUGUAAAACUGCUUUAAAUAGAGCAUUAUUUGCAGCAAUAUACCGUUUCUUCUGUGCAAAAUUUUCAAAUUUCCAUAUCUUAGUGAUACUAGCUAGUUGAAAUGUCAAUACCAAUGCACUUCUGCGUAACACUAAGCUUCGUGCCACUAGGCAAGGCAGUUUUCACUUUUCAGGGUACAUGUGCCAGUAUCUAUUUAAGUUUGUGCAUGGGCAUGCCCACAAAUAGUUGCGUCCUCACUCAUGUUUAUAGAAAAAUAUCUACAUGUAGACCUUGAAGUUCUGCCGUUGUCUACUUUCUGCCUAAAACUUCAAAACGGUGUAUGAGUAACGCUGAAAGCUCACCAUCUGCUCAAUCCCCUAGUGAUGUGGUAAGCACAUGGCGUCCAAGCCAUCCAAAACUGCUCAUUUGGUGGAUAUUAUAUGAUGACGACAGUCUGCUUUUAGGUAGUUUGGAAGUUUUAAGACAAAAAUCAGACAAAGGCCGAAUUUCUGGGAUUUAAAAGUGGACUUAUUCGUUUAUUAUACUAUAACUGCGGGUGGUGAAUCAGAAAAUGGGCUGUACCUUCUGCACAAGUAUUUUUGCUAUUCCACAAGAUUAAUGAUGUUUAAAGAAGUUCGACGUAUUUUUUAUAAAAAUAUGUAUAACUACCGCAUGCUGUACUGUUCCAGAAACAAGAUAUGCAUAUAUGUUUUUGCCCUAGAUGCACUCUUAAUGAUCUAUUAUUCUGUCUCUUUUGCAAUGAACUGUUUUGAUGGAAAAGCAAGUUGUUUUGUUCAACUUUUCUUUCUUUUCUUCUAGAUACACCCUGCAGUUCUUUGUAAUUUAAUUUCUUGCGUUUCUGCUCUUUUAUCAUAUGUUUAUCUGUUUAUUGAAUAAUCCCUUAUAGCAUAUCAGUUUUUGCAGGAGAUCUGAUAGCUCCUUGCUGUCUACAAGUUGUUCACAAUCCUCUUUCCAAUGUAGGCACUUAAUUGGCUCAACUCUCUGGGGGGAAAAGAAAGCACUCACAGUCCCUUGCCGAUCUUCAACAUCUUUUUAAGUGCCUGUGCAAGCAUCAGAAAUCUGAAUGAUGCUGAAAGCUGUCUAGAGACAAUGGGAAUUCAUCUUGUUGGGAAGUCUGAAAUAACAUACUGUGAGCUUCUAAAGGUUUGUAUGAACAAAUAUUCAAUAUGCCUAUUGAUGAUCUUCAGAAAAGUUCAUUUUAAUAUAUGGACAAAUAUUUAGUUCAUCACACUUACCUGUUGUGGCUGCAACAAUGAGAAGACAUACCCAUCCAUAUAUUGCUAGCUAUUGGUCCUUGUUUUCUAAAUUAACAUCUGAUUGCCUUUAUUUCUAUUUUUUUCCUCUUUUGGUCCAUCAACUGUAACCAUCUCUUGGUUUGUGACCUUUUUGUUGGGCGCUCUUGCAUGUUGAUUUUAGUUCUUUAUGCUGUAAAAACUGAAACAUGCCUGUUCCUUCUCUGUAUUUCAUGUUUUGGGCAUCUCUUGUUUAGAAAUUCCUUUUGUUGCAUGUAUUGUUGUACUAUACUCCCUCCGUCUCAUAUUAAGUGACUUUCUAUUGCAUGUAUCUAGAUGCUUUUUAGGCAUAGAUACAUCCAUAUUUUGGGCAAUUUUGAGUCACUUAAUAUGGGACGGAGGGAGGUACUUGUUUCUUGGGAUACAUCAGCUCUUAUCACAUAUGUUUUACUUGCUAUGCUGAUUAAAAUAUGUUAAAAUGUUCCAUUUUAGAUCUAAUAUUGUGACAGCUUGCUUAUUUGGUUGUAUUAUCGUCUUUAGCUUGCAGUUUUUCAGAGAAAUUUGUCUGCAGUGAAUGAUUUAUGGAAGGACUGCAAUAAGUAUUAUAGUCCAAGCAUUAUUAUUCAAAGGAAAUUUUUAUGGGCUUUCUCUACACUGGGGGACCUUCAAUCUGCAUAUCAAAUCUUGCAGCGCAUGGUAGUUCUUGCUGGUGAAAGCCCUGACCAUCUGAGGGUGUCUUGUAAAAGGAGAUACCAAUCAACAAGAUUAGACAUUCCUGUACCUGCUUUGAAUGAAGUAGAAGAUCUGAAGCUUGUAUUGGACUCUGACCUGCCAUCAUCAUUUGAAGGGAAGGUGGCUACCAGAGGAGAUCCGAUUGAUGCCCAGCCAGAGCUGUUACAGGUGGAAACUCAAUCAUCAAAACAUGAGCAAUUGGAGGGUUAUGUGGCAUUUCUUUCUGCUGGUCUGUUCUGCAUUCUAAUUUCAUAAGCUAUGCACUAUUCUUGUCAGCUCAGUUAUAGAAAUUUACUUUCAGUCUUAUUCCAGGUGACAAUCAUGUUGACAAUUCUGAAAUAGACAGUGGGAGGAUGACGAAGACAUUGAGAUUUGCACCACUUGCAGUAAGGAAAAUUUUACGAUGGUCUUUCAAUGAUAUUAUACAUGCGUGCAUGCGACUUGACAACUGUGAGUUGUCUGAGCAAUUAUUUCUCGAGGUAAAACAUAUAUAUGGCUAAUGUGUAUUAUGGUUACAUCGUCUUUCUGUUGCACUUACAUCUUUACCUAAGCACUUCUCCUAUUACAUUAAGUUUAUGACCAUUUCUUUCUUCUGGACUGUUGAACAUUCAUCGCUAUGGUAAACAUUCCAAUUGCUUGCUGCUUUUUUUUAAAUCUGUUGCUUAUGAUUUUACCUUCUUAAGAAAGUCAAGAGAGCAGAGCAUGAACUCCAUUUCUGAAUGAAGCAUGAAUUUCAUUUAAAGUUUUAGUCACUAACAUGUGGCCCUGCUCACUAGCAAUUAUUUCAGUAUUUUAAUUGUUUAUUAGUUUGCAGCUAUUGUUAGUGGAAAAGGUGAUGGCAAAUGUGAUAAUUUCAUUUAUCACUUAUUUCUUCUUUUAAUGGUGAUAGGCUGAUAGCAUUUAAAUAAAAAGCUUUUCGUGUGCAUCUAACUGUGUUAGUGAUUUCAAGACCAGAAAUUUCUUAAGGUAUAUCUCACAUCAGAGAAGUUUGAUAUUGGUGCUCUUUGUUGUCUUUUCUUCCCAGAUGUGCAAGAUUGGACUUCGACCGUCAAGAUUUACAUAUGAUGGUUUUAUCAAGAGUGUGGUAGCUGGAAAAGGAGUUGCACAUGCCAUCAAAGUGGUAUGUUAUCAACAGCUUGUGGUAUAUGUGAAAGGAUAUCUUGUUAAAUAUGAUUUUGCACACUACACCCAUUAUUUUGUGAAACAGUGAAUAUAGUGUUGCUGUGCCUUUUUUUUUGCAUAAAAUCUAUAUGCUAUGGUUUUGAAUAGAUAUUGUAAUGUCAAUCCCUCCAUGGAAGCUACCAUGUAAAGCUGAACUGUAUCUGUUCUGAUGCGACUGCUAAUCACUGUUUAGUUCCUCAUGCUUUCCAGAUUGAAGUGAUGGACAGAAGGGGUAUUGAACCUUACAAUGAUACACUCGCUGCUCUUUCAGUUGGCUAUAGCAAACGUUUACAGUUGGAUCUGGCUGAGGACUUUUUGGAAAGAAUUUCUGAGAUACAACCGAAGUAUAUACAUGCUUUUAAUGCUUUGCUUUCUGGUUGCGACAUUGAGGUAAUACAUUGGCUCUGGAAAGAGAUUUCUCUGAGAUGUCAUGUUUGUCUCCCUACCUUCCUGUCAUCGAAAUUUCAGCUUGGUCAUUUCAAAUUUGUACUGAUCUGCUCAUGUAUCGUCUAUUAUAAUCUCUUUCUUUUCCCGUCCUUAAUCCUUGGUGCUUUGUUGUAUUCACAAUAAUUUAUUACUCCCUGUGAUCCAAAUUAAUUGUCGCAGAUUUGUCUAGAUACGCAUGUACCUACACACUAAAACGCGUCUAGAUACGCAUGUGUAUCUAGACAAAGUUGUGACAAUUAAUUUGGGUUGGAGGGAGUAGUACUUCAUUAGUUAUCAAUGUACCUGACUUUGCUUGCUUUCAUAGAAAGUAUGAGCUAAAUCCCCUCUUUUUUGUAGAAUGAGCCAGAAAGAGCUAUCCGUGUACUAGCUAAAAUGAAACACUUGGAUUUGAAGCCAAAUCUCAGGACUUAUGAGCAUCUUUUCUCUGUGUUUGGAAAUGUCAAUGCUCCUUAUGAAGAAGGAAAUAUGCUAUCACAUGCAGAGGUUUUGAAAAGGAUAAGCAUAAUCGAGAUGGACAUGUUAAACCACGAGAUCAAACAUAGUUUUUUGUCUAUGAGCAACUUGGUAUGUUUACUUCCUAUCUAUAUUGAAGUUCAUCUUGUUUUCAUGCACAGUUCAGAGGAAACGGAAGUGCAUAACAUUUACUCCCUCUGAUCCAUAAUAAGUGUCCGGGAUUUAGUACAAAGUUAGUACAACUUUGUACUAAACCCUCGACACUUAUUAUGGAUCGGAGGGAGUAAUAUUCUUGCUAAGAAACACACAUGUGGCUAUGUACAGUAGAACUCUCAACUUCUAAGGCAAUGAUAAUUUUAAUAUGCUGUUGCUAAUUGACCUUAGCAACGGUCAUUGUGAAACAGGGAGUUCACAUUUUCUUCCUUCCCUUAUAUGAACAUUGGUUUAUCAAGAGAGUUGGCACUUGGCACUGGUAAGGAGUAAGAAUGCAACACAGAAGUGUCUAAUCAUUCUGUUAAGAAAUAAUGCCAUUGGUAUGGCUUUGUUGUUCACAUCAGGUUCUAAGCUGGUCGAAAUUCGUUGUUUUUUCUUUGCUUAUGAUGGCAUGUCCAUGAAAGGAGCUAAUUUAUGCUUGCCUUAACCUUCUCUCUUUCUGACCAGCAGUGAUAUCUUGAUUACUUCAAGGUACCAAACCCACUGUCAGUUCCAGUGUCUAAUAUGUUAUAAAAAGUUUCGUUCAUAAUAAGUGGAAGGAAGGUUUCACUUUAUUUUAACAGGAUAUCUCAAUCAUGUGCAUGUGAUUAUGAUGUAAGGCUGGACUAGCUAAUAUUGGUGUGCUGGCCAGGCCUAGGAGAGUAGGGAGUACUUCUUUGUGAAUGACAUUUCACAAUAUCGCUUGUCUGUUGAUGUUCUUUAUGGUAAUCUGUAUCCUAUCUGUUCAAACUAGUAUAUCAUAGGUAUUUCGAUCAUGUCCCGAGACCUUUACUGGCUUGAGCCUUGAAAGUUGAAAUAUUACAAUGACUAGCUAAAUGCAUGUGCAUUGCUACGGAAUUAUAAGUAUUAUUACAUGCAUGAGUUGUUUUAAAUACCUAUGUGCUCAUAUUUUCCAAUUUUAUGCUAAAUAAGAAUUGUCUCAAAAUAUUUAUUUGAGAAAGCAAUUAUCUCAAAAUUAUGCAUCAAACCAGAUCAACUAUAAUAAAAGAUCAUGAUACAUAUGUACAUCACAUUGAAUGGGUGCCAAUCAAUUGAUUAUCUAACAAGCUAGGGUGUAGUCUUCAUAGAUGAAUUGACGACCACCAAGUCGAAUCUUUAUAAGUGUAAAGAUAAUUGCCAAAUUUCUGGUUUUGAUCACCUGUCAGUAUGAUCUUUGAUACUUCUUACAGUGAUGGCAUGUUUUGACUUCUUGAUGUUUAAUUUACAACUAUAUGUUAUUUCAGAUACGAGCCUUUGGAGCUGAGGGUAUGAUAGAUGAAAUGCUGAGGUACUUCAAUGUUGCUGAAAAUGUCUUAUGGAAAAUGACUUAUUCUCAGAAGAGUGAUCUCUAUGGCAUUGUAUUGCAUGCUUUGGUUAAAGCCAAGGAAGUAAGGGUCUACAGUAUUUUGCUAUUUCGUUUCUUGUGACGAGAACUGGGUCUAUUUCUUCUCCUAUUUUGGGGAGUAUACAUCAGUUCAAGGCUAUUUUUUUAAUGCCUGGUCUGAUUUUAGUGGAACUUGUGGAAUUUCAUUUACCUCUUUCUGAUUCGCAGACACACAAGGCAAUAAGAGCAUUCAAGGUCAUGAGAUCAUGCGGUCUUCCAGCCAAUAUUGCUAUUUAUAACAUCAUGAUAGAGUGCUGUGAAUUGUUGCCAUGUUUUAAAUCAGCUAGUGCUUUGUUGUCCUUGAUGCUCCGAGAUGGCUUCUGUCCUACGAUUUUUACUUUCACAUAUCUCGUAAAGGUAAGACUAGUUAAUCGCAGAGCUGUUACUACUCAUUGUGUAAUGUACUGCUGAUUCCUUCGGUUUAGUCCAUUUGAAUCUAAGGGCCCCAUUUACUUGAGUCUCAUGUCUUGUUUUUCCAUGACAGGUUGUAUUAGUGAAGGAGGAUUUUAAGGGGGCAUUGGAUCUGUUGGACAUAUGCGUAACUGGGGGAAUUCAACCUGACAUACAGAUUUUCAACACAAUACUCUCAGAGGCGAAUGCAAAAGUAUGCCAAUGAUAAUAACUUACGAAUUCUUCUUCCCAAAAUGUUGAAGUUAAACUCAUGUCUUGUCAUUCUUCACAGGGUCAGAUUCAUGUUGUUGAAUAUAUUGUCGAGUGUAUUCACAGAGCAAAGACUCAGCCUGAUCAAUCAACACUUUGGUACACAUUUUGUGCUUACGUGGAUAAAGAAUUAUACAACACUGCGAUUGAGGCAUUGCAAGUCCUCAGUAUGAGAAUGAUAUCCUUGGAUGCAAGCAUUCUCAAGGAAAAAGGAGCAGUUUUAGAGGAUCUAAUCCUUGAUGAAGAGCCAGAUGCUGAAUUAAGGAUCAUGAAGGCAUUCAAGCCAACUGAAGAACAUAUCGUGACAGCCUUACUGAAUCUGAGGUGGUGCUUAACAACGGGUUCGACCAUAUCUUGGUCACCCGAGGACAGUCUCUGGGCGAGGAGGCUGGCAUCGUCCUAUGACGGUAAGAAGAGACCAGACGUGCUAUGAGAUUCAGGCAUGAAGUAUCCGUCUGUUGAAACCAAUGAGAUAGAUCAGCUGGCCUAAUUCCAUGGUUUUGACAUGCUCCGGAGGAGAACUGGGGAUGUAAUUCUUCGCGUUGUUCUCCAGGCCAGGCUUGCACCUAACGUGCAUUUUCUCUCGGCUGUAACUGAGGUUGAUGGUGACGAAGAUUGAACUGCGCGGAAGUCAUAUCUAUUCAAUAUAACAAAUACUAACAAAUUUUGAGUUCAGUUUGUGCGCUACAGGCAAUAUCUAUCUGUUACCUUAGUGUCUCGUGGGCUCUAUGACCUGCCAACAUAGUUAUUUGUUUCAUUAUUUCCCACUAAUUUCUCCCAUUGGAGCUGUGUUGGACUGUAAGUCAUCAAAGAACGAUGACAUGGUAGCAUGCUGUAAGGUCCUUGUCUCUCAUUUUGAUGCACAAAGGUGUAAUUUAGUUGUAGUAAGGAUGUGAAUUUUUUGUCUGCAGUGGAGGAAGAUAGGGCUGCCCUAUAUGUGAUAUUUCUUUAAUAGAGAUAAGAUGUUUCUGACCUUUAAUUUUGAAAAUGAAUUGGGAAAUUUCUCGAGGGCAUAAAGGUGUUCUGUACUUGUAUAUUCCUUUUCUGGAGAGAACAUAUGGCUUCAGUCGAUGGAACAGGUAGCGGGUGCCGAAUUCAAAUUGAUCGAUGCGCCAAUAAGAAAGCCCACUCGGGUCCGUCAAUGAUGGCCCAGGCGAAGAGAGUGGGCUUUCAAGUUUUCGCUAGGGUUUAACGCCCUCCAAGCCGCAGGCACGCGAGGAGGAGAAGAAAUGGCAUCUUUGGCCCGCGCCGCCGCCUCCGCCGCGAGAUCGGCCAUUCGCACGGCGCCCCUCGCCGGCCGCAGCUUUGGCUCGUCCCUGGCGGCCCCCAACCCAGCUCGAGCCGCCCGGAUCCUGCGCAGGUAGGUCACUAGGCGUUCCUGUUAAUGCGUUCAUGGACUGGGUGUGCGUGCACUUACAUUACAUCGAUGUCCCUGCAGGUCGGCGGUGGCGGGGCUGGAGACGCUGUUGCCGCUCCACACGGCGGUGGCCUCGGCGCGCCUCAAGUCCUGCAUCGCCGUCGACUCCACCUGCUGGAGCUCUCUUUCCCAAGGUAAACCCUCCGCUUUUCGGUUCCUCUGGUUGUUAGGACUUACGAAGAUGCUAUGUUGACAUUAGCUUAGAUGUGCUAUUGACCGCGGAGGAUUAUUUUAGUCGAAAUAAGCCUUUUCCAAUAAAAGCAAACCGUAAUUCGUGAAGUGAAUUCAAAGAACCAGAACAAUGAGCCAUGCAGUGUUGUGAUGGAGGGGAUAUCGGUUGACAACUUGUUAUGUGACUUUGUUAUUAUGCUCAUGCGACAUAUGAACCUACAAAUAAGAGGCGUUGGAUGAACGAGUCUUUGAACAAGGAAAGGUACUAGUACUGUGAAGAUAUCCAGUGAUCAACACACAGACUCUGUGUAGUUAGAUAGAAGCUGAUGAGAAGUAUUGACCACUGUUGUUUUAUUGGGGCUAAAACCAUAUUGAUGUUCAUCUCCUUUGUUUAGUUUAUUAACCUUAAUUUCUGUGAGUACCAAAUAUGUUGCAACCUAUGUUACAUGGUACGGGGAUACGAGUACGGGGAUACUGAAUCGGGGAUACGGGAAAACGGCAUUUUUCAAAAAUAGCCUUACGUGGAUACGGCAAGUAUAUGUAUAAAUCCAAGAAAAUAAACACCAAAUAAACAAUAUUAAGUGAAUGAGGAUUGAAAAUGGACGAAGAUUGGAUGAAGCAGCAACAAGCGAGGUGUUGGCGGCCGGCGGCGUGCAGAUCUUGGCUUCAUUUGGCCAUGUACUGAGAGGCGAGUGCUUGAUUGAUCGAGUAGGACAUUGCCAGUUAGCCAGACCCGUAUGAUUCCCAGCCAUUAUAUAUAUUUUAAUUAGAAUAAAAAUGAUUACCAUAUCCCAUGCGUUUUUAGGCGUAUCCCCGUCCUGAACGUGUAUCCUGCACCAAUACGGCACCUUUGUAAUCGUUAAGGGUUGUUGUGUAGAUGAAGGAUGAAAUUGAUUGACAUAGUUUCUUGAGUAGUUGAGUUGCUUCAGUAUAAGAAGUUUGCUUUUAAUUGAACAUAAACCUACAGCAAUUUGUAUUUCAUUUCUUAUUGACUUGGUGGUCUUUGUCACAUCCAUCCCCCUAAUGGUUUCUUAGCCUUUAAAUCAGAUGAUAGUUUUUGGUUCUCUGUCGGGAUAUCUGGUGGCUAUCUAAGAGCAUUCACUUUGUUUCACCUCACCUAAAGGCAACACUAUAACAAUCUCCAACCAUUUUUAUCGUUCCAAUAAAUUAUUUUAUUAUUAUUUUCACCUCACCUUUUUCCCUAACGCUCCCUCACCAGUCUCUCACAUCCGAAGGUUUGUGUGCCCAUGUUCUGUCUUGCACAAGAGAUGCUCUUUACAUACUCUCUUGCCCAACUAGGCAGCCACUAUUGGAGAGCCCUAGUCACCAAAAAUAUAACUUUGUGUUUGAACUUCAUGUAGCUAGCCCAGUCAAUGAGGAGUUUAUUUCAGAUCUGGAAAUAGAAUGUCUUGAUCUUCCAGCACUAUUGCCAAUCUAGGGCCUCAAUGUUGCUGGUGUUGGUCAUUGUUUUGUAGAAUAUUGAUGUGAUACUGAGGUUGACUGGCUAUUUGGCAUGUAAACACCAAGCUUUGUUUGCUUGUCCGAGUAGGAAUCUCAACCUUUUUGAGCUCCUUCAGGCAAAGUCAAACAAUUGUCAUCCUAGCUGGGCAACAUUUGGCAGCAAACAUAGUAUUCUCAAACUUUAUCCCCAAAAUGGCAGUGGUCUAAUUCUCUCCUUUUAGAGUGUCAGUACUCAAUAAUGCAUAUCAAAUUCUGCUCCUUUUCAUGUGUCAGUAAUGUGUAUCAAAUGCUGCUUAUUUGACAUGUCGGUGAUACACAUUGAAUAUUGAGGUUUUGGCUUGGUAGUCAAUUAUUUAGCCUCCUUUGUACAGAUUGGUUAAGCGGAAAAUAUCAAAUUGAUCAAUUAUAGCUACCUAUGACUUGCUAAUCUGUUUGUAGUUGGCACCAAGUGAACUGCAGUGGUUAUUCUCUGUUAUUUCUUAUUGAAAACGACGGGGUUUCUAUCUUUUGACUGUGAUUGUUAUAGGUUUUAAAAAGCGCAUCUGAUCAUGGCUAGGAGCUGCGCAGCAGAGAAGCGAAGACACCGAGUUAGAAACAAAGUGCAUCUCUUUUUUCAAUAGUUCUUAGAACAUGUAUCCCGUCUAUUUUUGCAGUUGCUCUGUGCAUGUACUCUCUUUAACAAAAUAAUAGAGCAUGCAAAAUACAGUUCGCCCCUUGUAACCCUUUGAACCUUGAUGUUUCUUUUUGUUGAUCUUGGAGAAAAUCUGGAAUGAUAAUGGAAAAAAAAUUGUUGCUUUUUUUUAGCUUGAAAUCAGCUUGAAAAAUUUCUCCUUGUCUAAUUAACUUGAUAGAUUGUAUAUCCGUCAUAUAUCAUUGACCUGACUUGCUCUUAUAUUUCGUGAUAUAGGAUAUGCUUUGCCUUUGUGACAAAGAGCUGCACCUGAAGAAACCAACGGACAUUAGGGAUUGCAUACAUUCUGGCUGUAAUAAUUAGAUACUUGCAAACUGAUGCUUCAUCCCUCGUUUAAUUUCGUAAUGUGAUUGUCGAAGUUUUGGAACAAGUUUGUCCAUGUGGAAAGUUUAUGCCCCAUGGAUUAUCUGCAGCUUUAAAACAGUGGGUUGUCACGAGAUGGUUAUGCACAAUGUUUUCCCUUUGGGCCUCUUCUUUUCAUAUUUGAGAUCUUAGCCUAUUUUACUUCACAGAAGUGGCUUAAAACCUUAAAUCCAUACACAUACUUUGCUGGUUUAGAAUUACCAUGAAUAACCAAUUUUCAUAUAGAAAGACGUAUAGCAGAAAAAUAAAACUGAAAAUAUGGAUGAUGGCUAUGAAACACCUCAAGUUGAGACAGAUAAGAGUCCUAAUUCUUGCUAUACAUAAAGCGGAUCUAAUUCUAAUGAGCAACUCGUGGUGACCAUUUCUCUUUAGCAUAGAAUGAUCUUGGCUAUUGGAUUGAACAACUGGGUUCCAUUAACUUAUCGUUCCUGGUUGGCACAGAUCAGAAUUUUGAACGACUUUUGGGUGCCAAAAUGAGUGAUGAUAAGCUCCGAGGCCUUGAUUGACGUAGAGAAUUAAGCGGCCCGUAUAACAGUCGGUAUAUACCCAGUAUUCAUCGUGCAUCAGUUCUAAUAAAGUGUUAAUUGAUGAUAACAUAGUUUAGCUCAGAUAAAGUUUUUUUUGGCAGAUGAUGAUUUUCACCGUAUAUAAUGAAAAUGAUUCUUUCCGAUUUUGCAUUAAGAAGUAUUUGUGACUUGGUGUGGUCCAUAUCACUGUUUACCCGUGCAAUAUGAGUAGGGUUUAUUGCUUCGGUUUACUGAGCGGGUCUGGCGAGCCAGGAAAGAAGUUAAGAGGGAGCAACUAGACACUCUUAAGCAGAUAUAACUAAAUUUAGAGAGGACACCAAUGGUGAAAAAUCUAAGAUUUAAUUUGGUAUGGCAUAAUUGAGUGGGGGCAUUAGCCCCCAUGAGGCUUAAAGUGGGUCCGGCCGCCAUGGGUCUCGUAAAUAUGAUAUGGCAACAAUGUUUCUUUCGUCUCAGAAUAUAUAGCUAGGUUUUCUCAGAUUUUGACUUCAUAUUUAAAGAUAGGUUUGGUGAUGAUGGAAAAACCUUGCUACAUAAUUUGAUUCAUCUUUGAAUUGAGGUAGUCAAAGGUGAGUCGCCGCGCAGGAGAAACUGCUCGAAAUGAGCAUGAUUGAUGGAGCUGCAAGUAAAGCCCUCUCGCCCAGCGAAUAGCUCUAUAGUAAAAUUAUAGGCACAAUGCUAGUAUAAUUUACGGUUUUUAUGUAUUUAAAUUGGCUGAUUUUUAGUCAGAGAUAAGUAGAUUCCUCAGCUAUUAGAUAUGAUUUGUGGUUUAAGUUUCUUGAACGAACCAUGGAAAGAGCAGAGUGCAAUAACGUCCAGAUAUUAAUCGAACGGUUUUAAUGCGUAAAUUCAAAUUUAAGUCUUUUUCUUAGAAAUCAGACGUCUGAGAAAUAUAGUCACACACGCUUGAAAGAAAGACAGCGUGCAUGUACUAAGGGAAUACUCGCAAAGCAAAAUAACAACGUACUUUCCCCCCUAUGAGAGCAAGUUCUCCUUCCACCCUACCAUGCAAUGAGUUAUGGUCCUAGAAAACCCUUUCAAAAAAACAUUUAUUCUUAUUCUUAGAGAGCACAUCUACUACCAGCUGGUUAAACAAUAAAGGUGUGUGUGAGAGAGAGAGAGAGUGAUUUCCCAAAGUGUGCGAGCUUUUCAGCCUGCAAGGUCGAUCAAUUGACAUGAUCACAGAUGUACAAUUUUCUGACAUGAUCACAGAUGUACAAUCUCCUGUGGUCCUCUACCCUCGAUAGAUAUCUGGCGUGUGAACUACACCAUGUUCACCAGACAUCUCUUGCUACUUGAUCCCGACAUCAACAAAUUAAUUACAGUACGACUGCUUCAAUUCAUCCUUGCUGCCUUGCUGGCACUGCAACUUACUAGCUGCCAGCUAUCACUUCUAGCCAAUUAAGCCCUUCCCCGCAAAAAAUAAUCUAAAUAUUCUAAAAUAUAUAAGAGGCUUUUUAUGGUACAAUUUACUUCUACUAGUUUAGUGUAGUAUUGGCUAUCUCUAUUUCUUUUUAACUAUGGCAUAAUUGAUUUGUUGCGAUCAAAUAGAUUUUUUUCCAAAAUAUUUAUUUUAAAACCAAAAUCUUCUAAUAUAUAAUUAAACUAGCAAAAAUUCUAAGGUCUAGAUGUUGCGAAAGUUAUUGUACAGUCUAGAUUUAUCCAAUCCAAUACAUCAUCAAAAUCCAUAUUCUACAUAGGUGUAAAAUUACCAAAUCUGGGGAGGAAAUGGAUACCUCAAUAGCGCUAUUAUACAUCCCCAGAUUUGGUAUUUUUACACAGACCACAAAUAAAUGAAUGUUUACGCGAAAAUGUACAGAUAUGUAGUAUACAUCUAUACUAACACUACAAUUUUUCUUUUUGAAACCUCAAGACAUGAUUUUCAUGAUGUUUGAACUAUAGUGAGCACUGGAUCUCGGGAGCCAAAUGGGGUUUCGUAUUGUAUAGCUCUCACUUACAAUACUAUAACCUAACUAGGAGUAGCUAGCAGCAGCUGGGCUAUAUAUUAGGAAAUGGUGACGGUAGACUGUCCUCUGUCGCCAGCACUCCAAGUUUACUUGUCUUACACUUUUUUCUUUCCAGCCGUCUCUGUCCAUCUGGAGGUCAGCUAUGCUAGCUAGCUAUAGACAGACAGAGAUGACGAUCCACAUAUCAACGGGCCGGCCGGACACGCACGCAUGCAUGCAUUUUUCACUGAUCUAUAAAUAGGCUCAGGUUUGGAGCAGCUGGCAGAUGCGUCGCAAAGCAAAGCUAGCAUACACCUGUACAUAUAUACACGUACGCAAACACACACGCACAAAUUAACAAGUGGCUUAAUGGCUUCCGGUGCUCAGAUGAAGAUGAAGAUGGUUGUCGUCGUCCUCCUUGUUACAACAACGGCCUUAAUGUCAUUCAUAUCUGCAGCUGAUGCGACCAGGACGACCCUGAAGAACCCGGGAACCUGCAUCGAGAAGGCGUGCGAGGUUUCCCGGCGCCAACGCAACGGCAGGCGGCGAGGGGGGACGACGCGGCAUCCGGCAGAAUCGCGACACAUGUCCCAGCUCCCCGCAGUUCCGGCAUCAGCAGGAAGACCGACAGAGCGCCCCCGCAUGGUCGUCGGCCAGGCAGUUGUAGCAUUUCCCCACCAUGUCCGGCGGAAUCUCAUCACGAGCCACCGGGACGGCAGGAUGACGUCCAGCCGUCGACGGCGACGGGGACGCUUGCCACCACGCUGCCAGCCCUCAUCCACCCGAAGCUCCGGAGCCACCCUCGCACCCAGCUGCUCCGUCACCGGAACCCUAGGCAGAGCGGCGGCGGGACGGACCAUCACCGAGGCGAGUCGAGGAGCAGGGGCAAUGAGGGGGACACGAACGCCGCCCACGGCCACAGAACCACCGGGAGGAGCCGGCGAGGGGCCCUCCCGCACCACCGCGCUGAACGAGCGCGCCGCCGACCGCUCUUCGUCGGAGGAGCAGGGGUGGGGGUGGGGGGGGGGGGGCUACGGGACAAACCCGCAACGGGAGAAGCAUCCAUGGGACGCCGGGAGGGGGAGGAACACGCCGGCAGGCGAGGGGGGUGGCCGCCGGCGCCGGAGUGGCGGUCGGCGCGGUCGCAGUCGCAGUCGCCUUUCAGUCGCCCAAGCAGUCCUGGUGCACUCCAAAUAGUUGAGUAAAUUAUUCAUGCAAAUCUAUAAAUCCUGAAAUUGAAAAAGGUUUCCAGUUGUGGAUUUCUAGCAUGAACUUGGCCUUUUUAAUUCAUGCAUGUAAACCAUCCUUGGUUUCUACAGAAUCCUUGGUUUCUUAAAUAUAUCUCACACGAUCUGCAGAAACAAGUCCCUCACCAGGUUUCCUAUAGCUUUGGUGGAAGCUUUUAAAUCUCAACGACUAUAUAUCCCUUAAUGAGAGUUCCCUUUCAUACCUGCAGAUUGUUUUGCCUGUCAAUGUUUGAGAGAUGAUAUACUCUGUGAAGGAAAAGGAGAAGGGAGAACGGAUUCUCGAUUUACUGUAUGAAUAUGAUGCAGGACCAGAAGUGGUCACGUCGUCCAGUCACACCAAGGGGAAACUGAACCUGCAGGACCCUGAAAGACUGGUGUGCGUUGCGCUGCUGUGGAGUUGGUUGGUAAAGUACGGAGUAGUACACAGAGGCACGUUGAUGAGUUUGGCCGUUUCUACGCCAAGCCACGGCACAGUGCAGGCACCUAAAGAUUAAUAUUGAUGGCUGCUUCAGGUGCUAAUGAUCACACUGCACUACUGGAAAAUCUGGCUUUGCCUGAGGCCUAGGGCCUCCGGCAAAAGCUUUGCCGGAGGCUUUUUCUCGGGGCCGUCAGCAAAGAGCUUCGGUAUGGACGAAGGCUAGGCUUUGUGGCACGCGAUGAGUUAGGUUCGGGGGUGGGCCGUCUCACCCAUCUUCUUCAAGACCCUGUACAGAGUACAGACUGAAGCGGAGGCUGGAUGCUGUUCGGUUGGGAAAUUAAUGACCCAAGUGACUAUCUGAGCAGAUGUCCAGCUUCUUGUUGAUGCUGUGACCUCUCUCCUUCAUCGACAAGGUCAGGCUGGUUUUGGCAUGAGAGCAAUGACAGUGACACGUCAUCGGUCAUUUUGACAACGGUAGUGGCCUUCCAAUGAUCAUAUUUGUCUGCAUUUAGCAAAAAAUCACAUUGAACUAUCUUCAAAAACCAUUUUAUUCAACAUAAUUAUUUAAGGAAAAUCUUUCAUCACCUCCAGCUAGCACAAAACAAAUCGAUACCCCAUGAAAAUAACUUACAUACAACUAUUAUUUUCACAUGAUGCGCGCGUGGACAUGCAUGCAUCUUAUCGAGCAUGCAUAUAUAAAUGCGAUCGAUCACGAGUUCAUCGAUCGCUUUUACUGCUCGGCGACCAGUGAUCUCUUCUUCUUCUUCAUGGUCACCAAGGUGCUGAAGUUGACAGGGUCCGCGUACCUCGGCGCGGCGCCAUAGAAGACGGCCAAGGCGCCACGCUCACAUGUCGCCUGCGUGCAGUGCAGCAUGUCCCAGAACAUGUACUCGCCAUGGUUAUCGGCACACACCCCGGUGCCCUCCGCGCCGCACAUCUUCUCCGCCAUGAACUUCCCGGCGCCGCAUUACGCCGUCUGCACCUCCCGGAUCCCGGCCACUAGCGGGUUGGCCAUCAUGUUCGUCAGGAUGUUAUAGUUACUAGCAACAGAGUAUCUGAGCUCCGUCAUCGAGGCGGCAGCGAUGCCGGCAAGCUCGAUCCUGAAAAGGCUGUUGAACCACCGUGCCAGGGAGUUGGCCACCUCGUUGCACUCGCCGUUUGGCAUCCUGGCUCUCUGCCCCGGCGUGCACCCGAUCGGUGCCAUGUCCACACUCUCCUGUAUAGCGCGUCAGGGACUUCGGGUACGUUAUUACGUGCAUUGUACACAACAUUGCGCUAGUUUUCAGAUUGAUUUAAGGGUUGGACAACAACAAUUGCGGCUCUGAAGGUCAGUCCAGUGUCGGUAUGAGAGCGGUGACAAUGACUUGUCAUCGGUCGUUUUGACAACGGUAGCGGCCUUCCAAUGAUCAUAUUUGUUCAUUUUGCAAAAAUACACAUUGAUGCAUCUUUUUUUUAGAGGCAAAGGCCCCCGCCCAGUUCCAUUUUCAUUGAAAACGAAACAAUGUCUGAUACAAUGUAAGCACAGAAGAUUAAACUGCCCGAAACAGGCAAGCAAAAGAGCACCAUUUCUAACACACCCCCAGCACAACUCUCGCCACAACCCAGGAAAAGGAAUACAAAGAUGAUCAAGCAGAAAGGCUAGGCAAGGGGGUCUUCUCCGGUGAGUCUCUCCCUCCCUCCCUCCCUCCUCCCCCUCCUACCCCUUCGCCUCUCUCAAUGGCGGUGGCGGCCUCCCUCGCUCUUGGCUUGGACUUCUCGCCGGGGGAGUCUUUUCGGCAGGAGGUUCGGUGUCGUUUCCGCUCCACGGUGGAUCCGUUGGGGAAAUAUCAUCAUUUCCUCCUUGUGGUGUCAUUUGGUCGGGCUCGUUUUCGACUAGAUGAAGAUUCAGUCAGUUUGGCUCUGGAAUCAUGCAUUGGGGUUUUAUGUGAUGAUCUCAUGGUUCAAUUUCUGCAUGAUCGAGUUUUCCGCUUCUCGGUGGCCUCCAAGUAUGUUGGGUUUUUUGUUUAUUCCCUCCGCCAGUUCUCUUGCCCACAAUUCAAGUCUUUUCUUCCAUCUGUGGGGUGGUGGUGGACCAAAUUGGUCCCUGGAAUUCAAGGAUUGGCAAAAGGCGAAUGAUAAUGAAUGGGUCCUUGUGAGUCCCACGAAGAAAAGGGUGGAGCGUGCCCUGUCGGCCCUCCAUAGACCAACUCCUAGUUCAAUCUUGAGGAAGGCUCCUCCUUCUCAGGUCCGGAAGAGCUUGUCUUUUGGUGCGGUGUUAGCUUAUGAUGCUUGUAGUGGGUACUCUUUUCCCCUAUCGUCUGAGCAGCGUGCUGAUUUCAGAGAGGCUGGGUAUUCUGUUUCGUCACCGGUGACUUUCCGGCCAGGUAUUCCGGCGGUCAGCAUUGCUGUGGAGUUUGGCAGUUUUGGCCCUCCUUUGGAAGGCAAUCAAUCUGGAGCUAUUUUGGGCAACUUGGGAUCCCCUUUCCCCCUACGAUGGUGGGCUGUGAUUCAGGGGAUAGUUUUUCCUCGGCCAAGGCGGAUUUGGUGGAUCAGCUUCCCUCUCCGAUGGUGGGCCGUAUCUCAGGGGAUUGUCUUUCCUCGGCCAAGGCAGAUGAGGGUCUGUCUACUUCAAGGGACCUGGAUGGGCUGGCUGAGGUCGUGGAUGAUAUUGCGGCCCGGUUUUGGGAUUGUCAGCGUUGUUUACGUAUGGGCCACACCCAGGAUGUUUGCAAACGGCCCAUUCGGUGUCGGAAGUGUUUCCGGAAAGGCCACAUUGCUAAAUCUUGUGUUUCCUUCAAUUCCCCUGUGUGUCGUUGGCUUCCCAAGGUGGCGAAUACUUGUCUUAAUUCGGAUGGGACUAUACAAGGCGUUUCAUCUCCCUUUGCUACGCAUAGCCCUGCUACUCGCCCCUCUGCCUCGAGUUCGUCGUCCCCUCCAUUACCGCCCGAGGUGCUGCCUCCCUGUGCGCCCGCUGCUCCCAUGGCAGUUUUCCACCUCGAUCCCUCGCGUUACUUGCCCCCUGGUCAUGAGGUGAUUGAUGGGGGGCCAACGCGUCUUCCACGCACCUUCGUCACCCCGACGCAGCCGCUUCAGUGCCACCACGAAGGCUACUUGGUGGCCAUUGUGGAGCCUCCUCCUCCGGCGGAUGAUGUCGAUCAUCAUCGCGAGCUAGUGGGCCAACAUAUCCAGCUGAAUCUUCAUCGUCAGGUUCAUGAGACUCAUCUCUCCUGUGUUGGAGUUGGUUUGUAUCGUUUUAGGCUCGGCUGUGUCGCGUGAUGCUCUUGUUCAGCUCCCCCCCGAAGAAUAUACUGAGGGUUUUUUUGUUCGAUUCGUGAAACAUGAUGAAUGCUUGAAUUUUCGUGCGGUCACGGGCACUCGCACUGGCUGGUUGAUGUUCUUAGGGAUUCCCCUUGAUCUUCGUUACACGGGGUGCAUUAUGGAGGCUGUUAACACCUUUGGGAAAUUCCAUUAUUGGCAAGAGCAGGAUCCUAAGAAAGUGCGUACCUUGGUUCGUGCCUCGUUUCCCUCCCUUGCCUUGGUGCCACGUGAUGUGGUUUUCAGAAGUUCCACUGAGUUUGGGGGGAUUAGGUUGUCCUGGACUGCACCUGUUUACAUCCUCUCUGCUGAUUUUGCUGAACAAUUGCCUGAGGACGAGGACCCCAUGCCAGUGAAUGGUAACCCCCACCCCCUGCCUGAUGUUGCUCUGCCUGAUGCUGGGUUUUUUUGCUCUGCCUGAGUACCCGGAGAUUGGCUGGGAUGGUAUGCAUCCAGUGCAGCCGGAUGAUCCACACGAUCCUGAAGAGCACCCGGGUGCUGUUGAGGACCCAGGCCCUCAAGUUGAUGAUCAGGUAUCCAUGGCCUUGGAUCAUUUGCUGGACUCUUAGUCGUCUGCUCCAGUGCCUCCUUCUGAAGGACAGGGCAGUGAUAGUUAUGUCUCUUUGGCAACAAAACAGGUUAAUUUGUGCAGAGAUUUGGUCCCUUUUAUUCCUCUGAAUGUGCCUGCGCCAGUUCAGCUGCCUCUCCUGCCUUUGGGUCCUUGCCUGCCUCCUGAGUUGGUUUGGCACCGUAUGUUUGAGAGUUUGCUUCCUGAUUUGCUUGGUGUUUCGAUCCCUCUUAGUCUCCAACUUCCUUUGCCCAAGGUUAAUUUCAAGUGCAAUUGGUCACUUGCUUUUGAUGAGGCUUCCUCUCAGGUCAGUGUGGUUUGGUCCCUAUCGAGCCUCAAGUCACCCCACGCAAGUCUGUGCUGAUUGCUCGGAAGAUUGCUCGGCCCCUGUUCUCGACGGAUAUAUCUGAUCAGUCUUGCAGUUUGGCACAGCCGGCUUUCUCUGCUUCCGCUGGUGUCACUCUAGUCAAGAAGCGCCGUGCCAAGAAGCCGGUUACUCCUUUGGUUGAUUUGGGGUUGCGUCAGGUUACGCGCCUAAGUGCUCAGCGUGCAGGGUUUCGUGUCCCAGUCGUUCAAGAUAUCAAACCUACUCCUCGCAAGUGUGCUCGUCAUGCUCCCUCUGAACGUGCUGCCCCCCCCCCCCCCCGCCCCCCCCGCAACAGAUCAUCAGUCAAAAGCAUUGGCGCCCAUCCCCAUUGCUUCCCUGCAGCUCAUGGGGAAACUGUUAGGCAUUGAUCCUGCUUUGACGACAUCGGAGAAGCUUAUCGCGGCUCCUGCUGAAGACUGCAACUCUAGUGGUUCCAACGAUAUAUAGUUACUCUUUGUUUUGCGUGUGUGGGUGGGGGAUGUGUAGGUCCUCUUCUGCUGAUAAUGCUUGGAUUCAGUUAGUCUCCCUUUGCUGGCAUCUGUUUAGCUCUAUUAGGGUCCCUUUUGGUCAGGUUGUGAGGGGUGUGUCUCUUUAUUUUGGUUUUGGUUAUGCCAAGACUUUCACUACUCUCUGUGUGAUGGUUUAUGGAUUAUAAGACUUUAAGUUCUCGUCAGUGGAAUGUGUUAUCCUGGAACGUGAGGGGUCUGAAUUCUGAUGACAGAUGUCGUGUUGUCCGGGAAAAAAUUGAAGAAAGUCAGUGCUCGGUGAUUUGUUUGUAGCAAACAAAAUGUGAGCAAAUUGAUCAUCGUUUCCUUAGAAUGUUCUGUCCUAAGCAGUUUGAUAACUUUGCAUUCUCGCCCUCGGUUGGUGCCUCGGGUGGUAUUCUCAUUGUCUGGUGCUCGUCGGUUUUCACGAGUGUGCUUAUUGAGUCUCACCGUUUUGGGCUUGUUGUGCAAUUCUCUUCGGUCCACUCCCAGCUUUGUUGGACCUUAGUUUCGGUCUAUGGGCCUUGCCAAGGAGAAAUUUGGGAUGAUUUUGUCACUUGGCUUUUCCAUUUACCAAUUCUUCCUGAGGAACUAUGGUUAGUCCUUGGCGAUUUCAAUUUCAUCUGCUCCUCUGACAAUUGUAACCGCCCGGGUGGGGAUCUUAAUGAUAUGUUUAUUUAUAAUGAAAUCAUUGGGCACCUGGGUUUGCUGGAACUUCCUCUCAAGGGCAGGGCUUUAACUUGGUUGAGUAUGCAAGAUAACUCUUUACUGGAACAGUUGGACUGGUUCUUUACUUCGAGUGACUGGAUUUCGGUGUUUCCCAACUCCUCGGUCCACCCUUUGGUCCGCACUGCCUCUGACCAUGUCCCUUGUGUUGUUCGUAUCGACACUUACAUCCCUAAAGCCAAGAUAUUUCGGUUUGAGAAUUUUUGGGUUGAUCAACCUGGUUUCCUUCAGUGUGUGGCUCUCGCCUGGUCCGCUUCGUCUGUUCCUUUUAGUCCUUCUUCUGCGAAGCGGUUGGCUGCCAAAUUCAAAGCUGCCUGGCAGGGCUUGAAACGCUGGCACCUUGGUUAUCCAGAAUUAAACAACUCAUUGAUAAGUGCAACAUGGUGAUCCUAUUUUUUGAUCAGUUGGAAGAGGCUAGACCUCUGUUCUUGCUUGAGUUUAACUUUCGGAAAAUUGUUAAGCUGCACCACGCUGGUUUGCUUCGUGCCCAAUGCUCUUACUAGCAUAAGCGUUGUCCUAUUCGUUGGGUCAAACUUGAAGAUGAGAACACUCGGUACUUUCAUGCCAAAGCUACUAAGAGAUAUCGACGCAAUACCAUCUCACUUAUUCGACUGGUGGAUGGCCGCACUAUCUCCGAUCACGCAAAAAUGGCUACUGCUUUCCUCCUGGGUUUUAAGCAGCGUAUGGGUACUUCCUUGGGAAUCUCCAUGAGGUUUGAUCUGGUUAGCUUGCUUCACCAUGUGCCCAAUCUGGAGGAGUUAGCUCAUCCUUUUUCUCGUGAGGAGGCUGAUCGAGUGGUUAGUAAAAUGCCGGCUGACCACGCUCCCGGUCCGGAUGGUUUCAACGGUAUGUUUGUAAAGAAAUGUUGGUUUGUUAUUGCAGAGGAUUUCCACCGGCCGGCUGAUGAUUUUUCUAGGGGCAAUAUUCACCUUCAGAGUAUUAAUGGGUCAUAUAUCACUCUGGUCCCUUAAAAUCUGUCACCUGAGACUGUUUCUGAUUAUCGGCCCAUCUCUUUAACUAAUACCUGCCUUAAGUUCAUUACUAAGAUGAUGCCGGACCAUCUUCAGGAGGUGAUCCUUCGCUGUAUCCACAAGAAUCAAUAUGGUUUUCUCCGUUCUCGCACCAUUUAGGAUUGCCUUGCUUGGACCUUUGAGUACAUUCACCAAUGCAAGGCUUCUCGCCAGCCCUCGGUCAUCCUCAAGCUUGAUUUUGCUAAGGCUUUUGAUACUGUGGAGCAUGAGGUCAUUCUUGCGAUUUUGCGGCAUAAGGGCUUUCCUGAUCGCUGGACCCUCUAGGUCAAAGAGCUUCUCAGCUCCGGUACUUCGUCUGUUCUCCUCAAUGGUGUGCGGGCAAACCUUUCCCUUGUCGACGCGGGGUGAGGCAGGGCGACCCGCUCUCCCCCCUUUUGUUUGUUCUUGGUGCGGAUCUCCUUCAGUCGGUGGUUAAUGACCUGUUAUGUCGUGGUUUACUUUCUCUUCCCAUUGAUUGCGGUGACCCGGACUUUCCCAUUGUCCAAUAUGCGGAUGAUACUCUGCUUAUCUUGCAAGCUGAUUGUCAGCAAUUAUCGGUACUCAAACUGGCUUUGGAUGAUUUUGCGGCCUCCACUGGUCUUCGGGUGAAUUUUGCCAAGUCUAUGCUGAUUCCCCUCAAUGUCCUUGAAGAUCAAGUUCCUGGACUGGUGGCGGCUCUUGGUUGUGUGGUGGGUACUCUUCCUUUCAUGUAUCUUGGGCUCCCUCUAGGCACUACUCGCCCGCGGCUGCAGGAUUUCUCGCCUCUUGUUGAUCGCUUGGAGCACCGACUCACUACUAGUUCUCCUUUUCUCUCUUAUGGUGGGCGCCUCCAGUUAGUGAACUCUGUUCUGUCCUCGUUGCCCACCUACUUCAUGUGCUCUCUUGUCAUCUCGCCGGGCAUCAUUAAGCAACUGCACCGUAUCCGAAGUCCAGUGCUUGUGGCGGGGAAGUGACAAGGAUUCAUCUCGGCAGUCUUUGGCUGCCUGGGAUCUUGUUUGCCGACCUAAACGCCAAGGUGGUUCGGGUGUGAUCAAUUUACAGAGGCAAAACACUGGACUGUUGUUGAAACAGUUACAUAAGUUCUAUAACAAGACUCCGGUGCCUUGGGUUCAGCUUAUCUGGUCCUCCUAUUACCAUGGUGUUGUGCCACAUGCCACUCAGCUUUGUGGGUCUUUUUGGUGGAAGGAUCUGAUGAAGCUCGCUGAUCAAUUGCUCCCCCUCUCGGUGAUCACGGUUAGGAAUGGUUCUUCGGCCCUUUUCUGGUCAGAUAAUUGACGCCCUCUAGUGCUGAAAGAUUAAUGGCCUCACUUGUUCUCCUUUGCUAAGGAUUGUUGGAUUUCGGUGGCGGAUGUGUUUGAGUCUCCUGAUUUACAAAAUCUUUUCCAUCUCCCUUUGUCACCGGCUGCUUUUGAGGAAUUUGGGAAGCUUCAAACUCUACUCUCGCAGUCCCAUCUUUCCCCGGAGGAUGAUUGAUGGGGUCUUACGAGGGGUGCACAGUAUUCUUCUGUGAAGUUCUAUACCCUUGGUUUUCAGCACUUGCACCCUGGGGCGAUAUAUCGUUGGUUAUGGUCUUGUUGCUGCACACCGCGUGUGAAGGUGUUCGGGUGGCUUCUUCUUGUGGAUCGUCUUAACACCCGUGAUAUGAUGAAACGGCGACACUGGCACGUAGGUGAUGGUGAGGAGCAUUGCGUUCUUUGCCCUACUCACCAGCUGGAGGACUGGAAGCACUUGUUUUUCGGUUGUAAUUUCAGUGCUCGUAUCUGGCAGUUCCUUCAAGUUGAUUGGGCGGAUGGUCCAUCGGUGGAUGUGAUUGUGCGUCGGGCUGCUUCCUCUUUUGGCAAGCCUUUCUUUCUGGAAGUGGUGCUGGUGGCUUGUUGGCACAUUUGAAAGUUGCGGAAUGGGCUGAUUUUUAACCAUGUUAGGCCUACCUUUGGCGUGUGGAGGGCGGCUUUCACUCAUGAUAUGUCGCUUCUUGUUUAUAGGAUUAGACUUGUCCAUGUUAAUAGUCUUCUCUCUUGGUUUGACUCUACCUUGUACAGUAGGUAAGUUUUUUUCUUUUUUCUUUUCCUUGUACAGCUCCUUUGUAUCUUUGUUGGCUUUAAUAAAAUCACUGUAGGGGUUUCCCAUAUAGUUUCCAGUCAAAAAAAAAGAUGAUCAAGCAAUCAGCAUCCUUCGAGUGCCUGAAAGGAUUGGUGUCGAUGGUCCUGCCACAUCAGUUUUCCUCUUCUUCAGCACACCCGAAUCUGGGGAGCCUCCCUCACCUUGCAGUCCAAAAGUGUCAAGAAAUUCUCCAGGAGAGGGACCAAGUUUUUGGGACAGAGCAGCUUCCAUCUCACCAGCAGCCUGAAUAGCCUGUGCCACAAAACCUGUAGACCAGACCACAAGAUUCGACCAAAGUGAACGUCAUUCCGAAAUUUCCAGACCAUCCACAUGAAAACAGAAGUGACCAUGUUUGCAACAGCAAGUUUAGUAUUGUUGACCCACAUUUUGGCAAUAUCCUCAUAACAGAGAACCGCGGGUAUAUUUAGCAUAAUAGAGAUAUCAUGCCACAUCAGUUUAAUUAUGUCACAAGAGAAAAAAAGGUGGUUCACGGAUUUAGGUUCACAGCAGAGCAGACAUGAAGUGUCGUUUAAAUGUUGAUGUUUGCAAAGAUUGUCUCUAGUGAGUAGCUUAUUAUGAGAUAGUAACCACAAAAAGAAAUGAACUCUAGGGAUGAUGUUCAACUUCCAAAGAGCAGGAAUAUAAACAGGGGAAACCCCCCGAAAAUUUAUGACAGCAUAUAAAGAUUGCACCUGAUAGAUUCCUGAACUAUGCAAGCCCCAGAUCAAUCGAUCAUGCUCAGUAUUUAGGAUAGUUGCUUGUACUACAGAAACCAGUUGAAACCAUCUUUGCAUCAGCCUAUCAUUGAAACCUCUUCGAAACGAAAGUUUCAAUUCAAUCCCAUCCCAAACCUCAGCAAUGGUUAAAUGUUGUUCAUUGCAAAUGAAGUACAAAUCCUAGAAUUUGGAGGCAAGGCUGGAGUUACCAAACCAUUGGUCCUCCCAAAACUUGACAGAUCUGCCAUCCCCCACAACCCAGUAGUACCUUAGUUUUGCAGCCUGACAGGCUCUCAUCACACCCUUCCGAAAAGGAGAAGGGUUGAUGGGGGAGGAAGCCGGAAUAUUGGGCUGAACAUUGUCAUAUUUAAAAUCAACUAUUUGUUUCCAGAGCUUAUGCCCAUCUAAUUGGUACCUCUUAAUCCAUGAAGCCAACAAAGCCAAGUUCAAGUCUCUAAGAUUGGGAAUCCCCAAACCACCAUAAUCCUUGUGAAGUGACACUAGUUCUCAACUGGCUAGGUGGUAUUUUUUAUGUCCUUCAUAGUUAUCCCAUAAAUAAUGGGCCAUUUGAGAAUUGAUUGCUUGUAAAGCCCAAGAAGGGAAUUUGAUAGCAGAGAGCUGCUAAAUUGGAAUACUAGCAAGGCAAGCUCGAAUGAGCACUAGUCUUCCUCCAUAGGACAAAAGUCUACCUCUCCAUCCAGCAAUUCUCUUAAUAACUUUGUCAAUUACAGGUUGUAGAUCCUCUUUUUUCAGUUUAUUAUGGUGUAGAGGCACACCCAAAUACUUAAUGCGAUGCUGGCCCAACUUGCAGCCAAAGAUUUGGGCCAUUCUACCUGUCUCAUUUUCCUCCAGCCCAAUGGGAAUAAGAUCACUUUUGUUGAAGUUGAUUCUCAUACCAGAGAGCUGUUCAAAAAAAGACAUGAUCCACUUUAGGUUCUGAGCUUGUUCAAUAUUGUUAUCCAAAAAGAGCAAGGUAUCAUCUACAUACUCCAGACUGAUCACCCCCCCCCCCCCAGGCCUGAAGCCAGCCAAAAGGCCAGAGAUAAGAUUUUGUUCAGCAGCUCAACUGAGCAUUCUAGUGAAGACAUCAACCACUAGGGUUAAAGAGAAGGGGAGAUAGAGGGUCUCCAUGCCUUAAUCCUUUCCCAGUUUCAAAGUAAUGGCUCUCAACAUCAUUUAUCCUGACCCCAAUGGACCCUUUAUGGAUUAAACUCUUAAUCUUGUUCCUCCACUUCAGGCUAAAGCCUCUUUGUUCAAGCAUGGUCUCCAGAAACGUCCAGUCAACUUUAUCAUACGCUUUUUCAUAGUCUAGUUUUUAAAUAACCACUGACUCCUUUUUCCUGUGCAGCUCAUGAAUAAUUUCAUGGGAAGACACAAUACUUUCCAGAAUGAAUCUUCCUCGAAUGAAGGCAGUUUGAUUUGUUGAAAUCAGUCUAUCAGCACAUCUACUCAGUCUAUUGGUACAAGCUUGUGCAAAGAUUUUAAAACUGCAAUUAGUAAGUGCAAUGGGUCUGAAUUUUUUGAGAGAAGUAGCAUCAGCCUCCUUAGGAAUUAGCGUUAGAACAACAAAAUUAAGUCUAAAUAGAUCUGCCUGUCCUGUAUCAAAAUCUCUAAAGAGAUGGAUUAAAUCAUGUUUUAUGACUUCCCAAAAAAUUUGGUAGAAGAGGAAGGGGAAGCCAUCAGGUCCAGGCCUCAGCAUAGGAUUGAAAAACUGCAGAUUUUAUCUCCUCCUCAGUGAAUUCCUGGUCUAGCCACUCAUUUUCUUCCUCAGUAACUUUUUCAUCGUCAGACCAAAAGGUCUCAGGAAGGUUAAUAUUUAAUCUAUCUUCCUUGCCAAAAAGCAUUUCAGCAUUAUCUUGCACCAUUCCAGAGGGUCCUUCAAGUUCCAGAAUCCUUUUUUUCCUCCUUCUCUGAUUUGCCAAUGCAUGGAAAUAUGCAGUGUUUUUAUCACCCUCCAGCACAUCCCUCUCCCUUGAUCUCUGUCUAGCUUUAGUUUCCUCCUGUCUCCAAAUUGUUGAAAGCUCAGCUCAGAUAGCCUACAUCCUAGUGUGUUCCUCAAGAAGCAGGGAGUGGACUCAGACAUGAUGUCAAGACAAUCAUAUUCUGCAGCAAGCUGCUUUUUGUGUUUCUUUUGGUCAGCCUCCACAUUAAUACCCCAGCCUCUUAGGAAUUUUCUCAAUCUUCUAAUUUUAAACUGCCAUAUAUCAAUGGCUUUAGUACAGGGGCAAGGCAAGCUCCAAUUCUUAGAGACUAAAUUUGUAAAACCCUCAAUGGAGAGCCACCAUUUUUCAAAACGAAAAGUUUUCUUUGGUGGAACAGCAGGCAGGCCACAGUGUAACACAAGUGGGGUGUGGUCACCGCCAAUUCUAGGUAGAGCAGUCAACAUAGCCAAGGGGUGAUGGGAGCCCCAACAGGUGGACAUGAAAACCCUAUCAAUUGAUGCCAUAAUCCUAUUGGACUGGUUAUUAGACCAGGUAUAUUGCCUAUUGGCCAACUUAAGUUCCAUCAAAGCAGAAGAGUUGAUCCAGUCAUUAAAUUUACUGGCCCAAGAUAGAUUGAUGUUACCAGAAUUUUUGUCAGCAGCCUCUCUAAUGAGAUUAAAAUCUCCACCAAAAAGAAUAGGAAGAGUUGAGCUAGAACUCACAGAAUGAAGUUCAUCAAUAAACUCUUGUUUGUGUUCCUCAUAAGCUGACCCAUAUAUAGACACUACUUGCCAUUCAAAGUUAUCCCAUUUGUUCCUAAUAGAACAAGAGACAGAAAAGGACUGAACAGCCCAAGAUAAGAUAUUAAACUUGUCCUUAUUAAUACCCAGGAGAAUCCCCCCUUGCAGUAUUAACAACAGGUAAAUAAUUCCAAGCAAAAUUGGCAUUUCCCACUAAAGUGGCCAGGAAGGCAAGACUAAAGUCUAUCUUUUUUGUCUCGGAAAGAGCAAUUAUGUCCAGCCUAAUGGCCCUGAGAGUAUUAAUCACAUGAGUCACUUUAUUGGGGUCAUUGAGUCCCCUAACAUUCCAAAAUAGUUGUGUCAUCAUGAAUAUUAAUUGGGAUUUUGGAGUUUUUCUUACCUCUAUUUUUCCUUAUCCUACAGGAUAAUUCUCUAAUCUCAUCAAGUUCUUCUAAUUCAGGUUCAGAAUCCUGAUUAUAUUGUUCACUAAAAGUGGUAUCAUGUUCCUCUAAGAUAUCUUUCAUAGUAAGUUCAAUAUCCACAGGAAGGAAAAUAUCAGGUUGUUCUUCAGCAAGUUUUUCCAUUCCAAGAGUUUCUAGUUGUUUAAUUUUAGCAACAUUGUAAUGAAUAUCGGUCAUAUUAGGUCCUAAGCUCACAUUAAUUAAUUCAGCUUUAGCAAUCAAAGAAGUACUGCAGACAGAAGCAAUUAAGGGCAGUGGUUUUACCUCUCUGCUUUUCCAGAUUCUUCAUUUGUAUAGUUCUUGAGCCUUGUCCAUCACAGUUCUUCCAUCCUGUUGGAUUCUGGCACUCUGCCUGACAUGUUCAACAAGGCCCCAUUUCUUGUGUCUUCCUCUCUUGAGCUUGGCAGCCUCAACAGGAGUGGGAAAAUCUCUGUCAUUGGUAUUAGUAAUAGAAGCAGCAUUGGAAAUCACCACUUCUUGCAUGUCUUCAAUCAAUCUGCUCAUCACAGGACUGGUUUGAGGGACCAGGACCUCUUCAGAGGUAGUGUUUAAAGUCCCCCCAGAGUCAGGGAGCUGGGACAGUGCCUCACUGAGUAGAUGUAAAUCAUCCUCUUCUGUCAUUGCAGUAUCAGCAAGCGCUUGGAAACUGUUGGACCAAGCAGGGGCAACAUCUCUUUGUGUUGUUUUAGCGCCAGUCUUCUUCCCAUCAAAGGGGGGUGCCAGAGUAAAAGGGGUGGUUGUGGCUGGAGCACUGUCACCACCUGAAGGUUUGUCAUCAUUGUUCUGAUCCUCACUCUCAUCAAGUAAGUCAUCAUUCUCAUCAUAGUAGUCAUCCCCUGGUUCAUCAAGAUCAUCAAUCCCAAUAUCACUGCUGGCAGUGUCCCACUCAACAGUGAAGGUCAUUGGAUAGAACUUUUUCUAAAUAGCCAUAGCUCUCUCACUUGGAAUUUUCCUGGGAUUCUUCACAGCAAUUUUAACUCUCACCCCAUCAUACAGAGAUUUGAAGAUUUCACCCCAGUCAACAUCUAAGAGAAAACCAAAGAACUUGGAAAUCUGAGCAAUAACACUCCAAGAAAUGUGCUUUGGGGGAAUCCCACGAAUCUGUAACCAGAGCUCCUUCGGAUUUGCCAAUGCAGGCACUUCACCAUCACAGGCAGAGAUUUUAAUAGUUAUCCUAUCUGCAUCAUUACCUUCUCUGAGAUUGAAGGAGGGGAACUCAGCCAAAUCACACACAUUCUUUUGUGGGGGAAAACGCACUAGAAACAGAUUCUCCUCCAGCUGUCUGAUCAGCCACGGCCAUUGUUGAUCCCAGGUUUCAGCCAAUUGCAAUUUCAAAUCCUUGCAGGACAGUUUACCAUGUAUCAUAGAAACCACCCCACAGUUUGACAUGUUCAACCAUUUGUUAGCCUCUUGAUCAGCGACAUUGAUAUUGAAGAAACCAAGACCACUACUCGCACUACCAACAUACUGAGCCAUCGGAAUUCCCUCCCCCCAAAGCAGGCAGUUGUUCAUAUGGUGACCACUCGCUAAGCACAUGAAGCAGAUUUUAGGUUUGAUGCAAUUAGCAGAGUAGUGUCCCGGAUCUCCACAGCUGAAACAUACCACAUCAUUGUACUUCGGGUCCAUCGGUUGAACUUGGUCCACCACCGCUUGGGGGCGCGGUCUCGGCGGCGGAGGCGCCUGGAUCUGUCGUGGUUGUUGUUGUUGGUGCUGAGUUGGUGGAGGAGGGGGAGGAGGGGCAGGGGCCCCCUAAGGCCCUUGCACCACAGCGCCGGGAUUGGCCGCCACGGACGGGCCGCCUUUUCCGAGCGCAGCACCUCCCGAGGCCGCCACCGGCCGCUGCCAAUCGGGCGAUUGUACUGGUACGGGUUGUUGGGGCGUUGUUGUUGAGGUAGUCCUCCGCCGCGAGCAGCGCCAGCACGUGCACCCUCCAUCUCCUGUUUCUUCGCAAUCUCGGUGAAGGUCUCCUUCCCAUGCUCACAACUCCAGAAAUCACGAGAGAAGCUAAACUGCUUCGGAGUGGGAGGGAAUCGGUCCGAGAGGCGAAAUCUGUGGCAAUCGUGAAUGGAGAAAUGCCCAGCCUCGAAUAGAUCACGGCGGAUCCACACGGGGGCGGCAGCGACUCCUAGGGCUAGAACCCUAGACUGGAGGGGAGGGCGAGAAGGGACGACCCAGAGUUGGCCGUAGUACUCUUCCAGAUCCUCAUCCUCCUCUCUCCCUGGGACCUGUCGGUCAGCCCCAGAGCUCGGCCCCGCAGCAAUGGCAGCCGGGAUGUUGCCAGGUGUCGACGAUCGAGCGAUCGGGCAAGGAAUAUUCCCCGCGCGCACCUACCGGGGCAUGGGGAUAACCGUGUGCCGUGCCUGACUCGAGGGAGUCCUCGUGGCGGGGUUCUUAUCCCUCCUAACCAGAGAAGCAAACAGUCUGCGAAUAAGCGGUGGAGCCGCCCUAACCGGCGGCGCGAUCCUAUCGGCGGCAAACGCGCUUGUGGGUGGAACGCGAGAGCGAGGGCGAGCCAUGUACCUUCCCCUACAAAUCUUUAAUUCCAAUUAUUAAUAUAUUUUAGUCGUAUGGACUUAUAAACAUGUGAAAUGAGAAGUACGAAGUAUGGCAACAAUGCCUGCUAGCAAAAGACCCGUGCGUUGUUACGGAACAACAAAAAAUUGUAUCGCAAAUACACUAAGUAGCCACAUAAAACCUCAGCAUCGCUCAGAAACUUGAGGGGAAGAGAGAAUACAGAACAGAGCAGCUCAAGGGUGGUGAUGCUUCAGGCAAAACAGAACAGAGAGAGGAACAGAAGCCGGCAUGCAUGCAGGUUGAAGAGGAGUAUCUGCUCGCACAUCGAAGUAUCUUCAAAAACCAUUUUAUUCAACAUAAUUAUUUAAGGAAAAUCUUUCGUCAUCUCCAGCUAGCACGAAUCGAUAUCCAGCAGUACAUGAAAAAUAACUUACAGACAACUAUUAUUUUCACGCGAGCGACGCGUGGCCAUGCAUGCAUCUUAUCGUGCAUGCAUAUACAAAUGCGAUCGAUCGCGAGUUCACCGAUCGCUUUUACUGCUCGGCGACCAGUGAUCCCUUCUUCUUCUUCUUCAUGGUCACCAAGGUGCUGAAGUUGACAGGGUCAGCAUACCUCGGCGCGGCGCCAUAGAAGACGGCCAAGGCGCCACGCUCACACGUCGCCUGCGUGCCGUGCAGCAUGUCCCAGAACAUGUACUCGCCGUGGUUAUCGGCACACACCCCGGUGCCCUCCGCGCCGCACAUCUUCUCCGCCAUGAACUUCCCGGCCCCGCAGCACGCCGUCUGCACCUCCCGGAUCCCGGCCACCAGCGGGUUUGCCAUCAUGUCCGUCAGGAUGUUAUAGUUACUAGCAAUGGAGUAUCUGAGCUCCGGCAUCGUGGCGGCAGCGGUGCCGGCAAGCUCGAUCCUGAAGAGGCUGUUGAACCACCGGGCAAGGGAGUUGGCCACCUCGUUGCACUCGCCGUCGGGCAUGCCGGCUCUCUGCCCCGGCGUGCACCCGAUCGGCGCCACGUCCAGGAUCCCCACCAUCCGUGCCCCAAGAUUGUACAAGGACUGGAUGUGUUUGAUGUAGGUGGAGACCAGGUUGGCGAUGUAGGCAGGGGCUUCGUUGAUGGAGCCGGUGAAGGCCGAGAAGUCGUUGCCGCCGGCGCUGAGGAGGAACAAGGACUGGGAUAGCAUGGCCUCCUUGCUUGGCAGGCAGACCAUCUUGUCCACGGCUCUCUUGAAGUACUUGAUUUGCGUCGACAUCGUCAACGUCCCGUUUCCCUGCAAUGCAUGCAUGUAUCAUCAUCAUUACUUGGUUAAUUGCCCACAUUCACGGUUGCUAAGAGAUAUACUCUCUCCGUGAUAAAUAAUUAAGUGACUUGAAAUUGUAUAAAUUCUUAUACAAAUCUACGUCAAUUAUUUUGAGACGGAGGGAGUAGAUAGCAUGGGUUUGUUUAAUUACGGUGGUGUCGAGGAUGCCGGAUCCACCGGAGGCGUAGUUGGCACCGAUGUUGCACGUCACCAGGAGAAAUUUCUCGUGCAGCAGCAUGGAUUUGUAGGCCAGGGGGCUCUUCUCAAAUCCCAGACGUUGUGCUGCACCCACAAAUGACACGUAUAUGAGAUGCAGGUACAGAUCGCUGUACGCGUGCGAGCACUAGAAAUUUUUUAUCACUGUUCUUCACAUCGACACACCACACGUCCAUAUCUUGUUGUUUGUCCCCAAUCAAGGGUUUAUAGCAACCUCUAUAUAUCAACAAUUAAUUCUCCGUACGUAUAGUUCGUUCCCUCAUGUGAUGGUUGGCUGUUUGUUUCCAUUGAAUAUUAAUAUAUUUGUAUUCCAGUUUUGCUAUAAAGAAAUCGUGUGCUUUUUAGUUAUUGACGUGCUUGGCCAUGGAAUUUUAAUCAGCAAUAGCACGUGGGAGAUGAGACUGUGGGGAUGAGUCUCAGAUCGAUCUUAAUCCAACGGUUCGGAUACAUCAACUGAGAUUUAAGACCUGAAAAUAGCCAGACCCAUUUGUAUUUUGUUUGGUCGAGUUAAAUUCCUCCGUUCAACCUUAAUAUGUGCACCGUUAUAUAGGGAUACGUGCGUGCAAGUUUGCAACGUUAUAACACAUCUCUCAUGCAUGCAUGCACAUAUAUACUUACAGAUGAUGUCGGCGAGGUUGUAGCCGUUGGUGAAGCGUCCGGUGGGUCUGCCGGGAAGGUCAUAGCCGUAGGGGGAACGCGCCCUGGGCGCCGGUGCCGGCAGGUAGUCGUUGUUGCCGACGUCGACGAGCGAGUCCCCGAACACGUACACGGCGUUCACUAGCUGCCCGGCGGCCGCCGCCGACGAGCACACGGUGGCGGCCAGACCGACGACCACGCAAACCAGCUUCACAAUGCAACAAUUCUUCUUCAUACUCGCUACUACAAAGGCGCAGGGAUUGUUAUAGCAGUGUGAGGAAGCAAUCAAGGAGAGAUUAUGCCUCUAGCUAGCUAGCUACAAUUGACAGCGGCUAGCUAGCUAGGUUUUGGAGUGAGGAUGCUGGUGUGUGAUGGACUGCUAUUUAAAGAGGCCGUCUCGUGAAGAACGUGUAUAGACGUGUGCCUUAAUUAGAUGACGGGCCCAGGGUAAUUAAUUAGUUGCUCUCACACAGCUUUGUAUCUAUUUGAAUAUCGUAUAUGAGUGGAAGAUGGCUAGAGCGCGUGAUGCAUGCGUGAUAGUGAUCGAUCCCGGCUAGUGCACCGGCCGGCGCAUAUGGGACCUUGAGCCGGUGGCACCCGGCCGGCGAGGACGCGGCGUGAUGGCACUGCGCGGCUGCCUUUAGGAUCGUUGAUAUCAGGUUUAACCUUAGUUGAAUCGUCAAAAUCGCUGUAAUUGGUGCAAGUGUGCGACGACCCCUUCUCAAAGACGUUCUCUUGGAUUACAUGCUCUUUAGAACCACACACCCCUAUCCCACCCCACAGAAGUACCAUGCGAAAGAUCUACAUUUUUAAGAGGUACUUUGAGUUUCCAAAAUUAUUUUAUUGCAGAAUCGGCAAUCCAUAUUGAUCAAAUCAGCAUAGAUCAGCAUAUCAGGAUUUAACCUGGUAUAAGUUUCAAGUUUCCGAAGAUGUCAAAACUUCCUCUGAAACUCAUCCAACUCAUGAAUAAGCUAUAUAGAGACAAACCAGUCCACAAGUUCUGUCCAUGCCGUCCAAUUGUCCCUGACAUGGGGUCAUCUUGAUGUAGUACCGUGUUUGAGAGGUAGCGAACUAAAAAUGAAUUCAUAGGCACUCUAUUUGUGUCAUUGAAAAUAAACUCAUAAGAACUGAAAAUUGCGAUUGGAAGUAUGUUUGACAAAAAAAUAUGCUUUUUCUCCAAGUGAAAAACCUACGCUCAUGCCUCUCCGGUGGCUUGACCAGGGAGCAUGUCGAUGCGCACGUGUGUCAUGUCCUCGUCAAAGGCAUUGGCUUGAACAGUUGCUUUGCGAUGAUAAUCUCAUGUUUGACUUUGGGUGACUCGUCAAUAUCAGCGUAAGUGCAACGAUCCCUUCUAAAUUAAAAGAGGUUGUCUUGGAUUACCAUUCUCUCUCUAAAAUCGUCACACCACUGCACCACGUUUCAAGUUAAGAGUCAUUCUGAAAAGCCUCAAAAAGGGUGCAGAAUGACUUCAAAAGUUUUUGGAGGCUUUAUAAAAAAUGACAAGAAAGUUGGGAAAGAGAAAUGUCACUUAAGGCAUUUUGAAAAAAAGCCUGCAAAAAUAAACAACCAAGGCAUUCUUAAGAAAUCCUUCUAUUCCUAACUGUGGCAUACCAGAAAAUGACUCCAAAUGACAAACUGAGGCUUUGAAAAGACAACAGUGCCCGAAGGCAGCAGCCAGCCGUGCAAGAUCUUUACCUCUCCCAUGACUCCCUACUGGCCCGAUUACUUACUCGUAUUUCUUUUCUUAUUUCUAGGGAUAUAUAUAUAUAUAUAUAUGAUUAUUAUAGGGUUAUUAUAUUAGCUAAAUAAGGGCUGUAGUCCUUACUUUUUGACCAGUGGGCGUAGUCCUUAUUCCUAGACUUUCUCUUGUCUCACGUUCUGCCUGUGGAGUUUUAAAGCGAUGAAAUUUCCUGUAAUUUAGCGAUGUGGGACUAAUACCCAGUGGUGAGCGGUGACUACUAGCGGCUGGGGCGGAGGCGGAGUCAGAGCAAGGGAAGGCAGGGAGGAGGUCGACACGGCGGCCGUUCCUCCACGUGAUGGGCCACGCCAUCGCUGGUACCCCAUCAGCUUGCGAGGAGCGUGCGCGGGCGGAGGAGGUGGAGCUGCCCAACUGCAGCGGGGGAUCCGAACCCCGGAGGAGCGGCGGUGCAGCCGGACACGCAGAUUCGCGACGCACAGUGCGGCGGAGGCGGGACCGACGAGUAGGAGAUGGAGCAGCACCGUGGCAGAGAGAGAGAGAGAGAAAGAAUGGAGGGGAGAGAUGGCGGCGGCGGGAGGCAGGCCGCGGGGGUGGGAGUGAGGGGGGUGCCGUCGGCAGUCGUGCAGCCAUGGGCACCCAUGGGUGGUUCGGUGAUUUCAAUGGAUGGACCAGAGGAUAUGAAAAUACACUGAAGUGCGAGGAUUCUUUUGCAUAAUUACUAAUUUUUGAGGCUUUUCUUCAAAAAUGCCUCCGAUGCUGUGAGUUUUUUAUUAGGAUGUUCACAGUUUUUGAGGCUUUUUUAUUAAAAAGCCUUUAAUGUUGAAACUUUUUCAGGCAUUUUAUAAAAAUUGCCUCCGUUUUCGUGUUUUUCAAGGCAUUUCUUGAAUUUGCCUCCUGUUAUGAUUAACCGAGGCUAUUUAAAAAAAUGCUUUCAUCGGAAUGCCUCCAAAACUCAUCCGUGGUAUAGUACAGAAAAUGACUGCAAAUGACACCCUCUGGCACAAGAGUACCAUGCAAAGAUGUUUAAUUUUGAGUUAUACCGCGUGUUCACGUACGGCCCACAGCACAACGUUGCUCACGGGGAGCAGCUAGCUAGCUCGAUCUGCUCCGGCAGCACGGCCGGUUAAUUUCCCACAUUUUGAUGGCUUAUAGCUUCCGGACCGAUCUCGAGCGACGUCGGUCAAUCAUGAUUAGAUCUGACGUACAGUACGAAUGUGAUUGGAGUAGUAAUUGGCACGGGGCCAGGGCCAAUAAUUCAUCCAAGUUUAGGUAGGAACGCGGCCGAUUAAUUGGAGACUGUUGUCUACGCACGUGGUUCGCAUGUCUAGACACGAGAAGGUGCAUAUUGUGGCUAACGUACCGCUAUCGCGGCAAAAAUAUAUAAAGUAAUCGGGGCCCUUAAUAAAGGACGCUAAUAAAAAAGAGACGGGGUGAAAUUUCGCAAGGUCAAGAAUUUAGGGGGCAGAUUUUAUUUUAUUUUGAGGGAAAUUUAGGAGGCAGAUGAGCCUUCCCUCAAAAAGAGGGCUGCAGAUGGGCCUAAAUGGGCCAAUUCGGCUUGAGGGCCACGAGAGAUCACGAUUUGUUGGGCUAAUCACAUAGUUUAGCCUAAUGGUGAUGUCCUCGCAAAAGGAAAAAAAAAAGCACAUGUUCCAUCGAAAUAAAACAAACCGUAAAUAUCGUGAGGCCACAACAUCUGGAUUUCUGGCUUUGGAAAAUCGUAACUUUCGAAAAAAAAACUACGAGUAAUCACAAUUUUUGGAUUAAUUAUGAAUUCAGUUUUAUCCAGAUGACGAAAAUUGAGGCUUUCGAUCGCAAUUUGACCGGCUAGGUGGUGUAUCACUAAGGCUUAAUUUGACAUUGCUUAUUUUAUAACCUGCUAUUAAAAAUACACAGGAAAGAUGGAAAAAAUAGGUUAACCAAAUAAGAAAAUAGCCAAAAGCCGAUUAGAAAAGAUGGAUUAUCAUAAUAAACACAGCCUAAGUGGGAAAAAAGUGAGAGAUGGCUCUCCAACCUCAAUCUAGCUGAUCUGCAGACAAAAUAGAAAACCCAACUGAAGUAAAUAUAAAGAAACUAUAAUAUGAAAAAUCUCACCAUUUUAUUGCCAUAGAAAAUAAAACUUAUCAGCUCUUAACAAAUUAGUUUUGCUACGUUGAAAGGAUUAUUCAAAAUCUAUAAUCUCUAUAAAGUUGAUCCUCACUAAAAGCUAUUAAUGUUUGCAAGCUCAACAUGCAAGGUGUACACAUCAUCAGGUUGAUCUCCACUAAGCACAACGUGCAAAAUGUCCACAUCAUCAAGUUGAUUCCUACUAAUCCAAAUCAUGUGCAUGCAAAGUCUAUAUCACCAUACAUAGCAUAUGCUGCAACUCCACUAGCAAUUCAUUUUGGAUGGCGACACUUAGUCGUCGAGAUGCUUUCUGGUCUCUGAUUUCCCUCAAGUUAGUCCGUUAGGAUGGAAUCGGCAAGCGCUGGCAUAGGUUCCUGUCGUUUCCUUGGAACCACGAGGUUAGAGUUUCUUGCCGUGCUUCCGCGCCGGCAAGAUAUGGUGUCAUGCUCUUUAGGUCAACUCAAGGGUUCAACAACGGCAACUGCGGUUCCGGGAUGUUGGUUCUUAGGGACACUUGCAUGAGAACUCCCUGACUGUCAUCUACAAGAUCAUGCUGGCUACGAUAUGGGAGCGGUGACUGGUGCUGUCAUCAGUUGCGGUAGUGGUCGUCUGGCGUAUACGGAUCUUCAUGUAUUUUUUUAUUAUAUUUGAGAUGGUUUAUAUUUUUUUAUGAACCUUUAGUUAGAUCUGUGUCCUUUUCGCAAAAAAAAUGUUAAUUAUGUUCUCUAUUUAAAAGUACUGUCUUUAUGCCCGUAUGCGUUGAUUACACACCACGAUUCUUGUCUAUACUGAAGGACAUACGACCGACCUGAAACUCCUACGUAGAAGCAAAAAUAUGUUGUGGUUUCUCGAAACUGAAAUCCAAUCUUGGUAGUUGCUGCAAUGUUGGGUCACUUCAGUGUGGUUCCGGGUGGAGAUGGAAGUCUGCAGGGUUUUUUUGCCACUUGAUGUCUGGGUGAUGAGCCCAAGUAGCGAUCAGUUUCGCUGUCAAAAAGCUCUGAUAUCACCAUUUAGGUUAUGGGUUCACAAUUAGCGAAUUGUGGAUACUGCAAAAAGAUCUGAAACCAAAUCCACUCCAAAGUUGUGGUAGCAUGAUAUUAGUAAAAAGCAGUUUGGCAGCACACUGAGCAACUUUCAACACAACUUAAGCAUGUUUUAUGUUCACCUUGUCGCGUGUAUUUUCUCAGUUUUCGACUUACAGGGUCAUGAACGGAUGAACCAGAUCGAUUGUUUUACAUGAACAACUUCUGCAAUACAGGAACAAAGAAAAUCUUUCGUCUGAAAAUGAAUCAACAGGCACAUCAUUUCUGCAGAUUGCAGUUUCUUCAGGCCGUCAGUAAGCGUGCAGUCCAUGAAUCACAAGCAAACCAACAUCUGACCGCAGAUUCAAUUGAGAUUCAGAGCUGCACAGGACUAACCAGUGGCCUCCCGGAGAAGAAGGCGUCGAGGUUGGCGACGAGGAUCUCAAGCGCGCCGCGCAUGGACUCCGGCGUGAUGACGGCCCUGUGGUCCGAGAGCACCACGUUGUCCAUGGCGAACAGCUCCCGCGGCACGGCCGGCUCGUUCUCGUACACGUCGAGGCCGGCGCCGCCGAUGACGCCCUCACGGAGGCACCUGACGAGCUCCGGCUCGUCGACGAGGCCGCCCCGGCCGACGUUGACCAGCACGCCGUCCUUGCCCAGCGCCUCCAUCACCUCCCGGUUGACCAUGUGCCUCGUCUCCUCCGUCAGCGCGCAGGAGAGCACCAGCACGUCGCUGUCGGCAGCGAGGUCAAGCACCGCCGGGAAGAACUUGUAGGGCGCCGCCGGUUUGGGGGAUCUGGAGUGGUAGGAGAUGGCGCAGCCGAAGGCCGCGAGCCGCCGCGCCACGAGGGCGCCGAUGUUGCCCAGCCCCACGAUCCCCACUCUCUUGCCGCUCACCUGUCAUCCGUCAAGACUCUGAUUAAUUUCUCUUCGUGCUUUGGAAUUCGGCAAAUCGCGAGGCAAGAUGAUGAACAAGAUUUGAUGAUGGCCAAGAACAGAGUCUUCUAGUACUACUAGUACUAUAUACGAACCUUGGUGGUUAGAGGGUAGUCGCCAUCGGCGGCCCAUCUGCCGCUCCGGACGAACGCGUCCGCGGCGGCGACCCUGCGGAGCACGGCGACGAGGAGCCCGACGGCGUAAUCGGCCGAGUCGGCGGCGAACGCGGCGCCGGCGUUGGUCACGGCGAGCCCGCGGCGGCGGCACGUGUCGAGGUCCACGUGGUCGACGCCGACGGAGGUUGCCGCCACGAGCUCCAGCGCCGGGAGCGAGCCCAGGAGCUCGGCCGUGACCCGCGCGAGCCCCGGCACGAGUAGCACCCGCGCCUCGGCCGCGGCCGCCGCGUCGGCGUCGGCGGCCAGAGCGAAACGGUAGCGGCCGGCGAGCGCCGCGGCGAACUCCGGGAAGAGCGGCUGCGCCAGGAGCACCAACGGCCUCUCGUCAGUGUGCGAAGGCGGCGGCGGCGUGGUCUCCAUUGGGAUCGCAGCCAAAUCACUACGCUCCGUACUCCGUAGGGGGAAGGGGAUGGAAUCAGUUGUCGUCGCUGCUUUGGAGUGACGGAGACACGCCAGCAGCAGACACACGGUGGGCAUGUCCUGCGCUCACAUCUGGAAUCUACCUACCGGUUAAAAAUAAUAAGAAAAAAAACUAUCUUAAAAUAAAAUAAAAUACCUGGCGUUUUUUCUGCUCCUUCCAUAUUGGUCUAACAAUACGGAGCAUAUUAGGGUUCGGUUGAUAUGUGACUGAUCAUAAUCAUAACCAUAAGCAAAUAUAUUUGAGUAGGAAUAUAGUGGAUAUGAAUCUAUGUCAUAUAAUUAUAUAUUAAUAGAGUAAUUUGUGGUUAAAACAUUGGUCAAAAGAAAGUUAAUAUGCCCCUUAUUGUUGGACGGAGGUAGUAACAGAUUUGUACAGACCUUUAUCUUGACAGUAGACCAUAAAACGCUAGAACUUAAUAAACUAGAUGAUCUCUGGCACGUUGUUGUGGAAAGUUUUAAUUAACAUAUAUAACGAUUCGUUCCGUGUAGGUAUUGGGGAACAUGAAAUUGAAUUGGUCUUGAGUAUCCAAAAUUAAAAGCAAAUAAUGAAAUUGUAUGAUAGAUCUUUCACUCGGUGCGGAUAGCUUGAUGAAAAGUAGCAUGAUACAUGUACAGAAAAUAUGGAUUUUUUAUAAAUAGGUGUGAACAAACGACGUAUAUUUCUAUUGCAAUCUAGGUUGCUCCGGUUAAUCAUCCACCCAAAAAGAUAUUGAGUGUGGGAUUUCGUUCUCCUACUAUUCAAAUAGCCACCAUUUUUUUCAAAGCAAUUGAACUUCUGUAGCAAGGGUGGCCAUCUGAGUUAACGUUAGCAAACAUUACUAGGCUGGACCAUGACCACCGUCAGCAAUCCAGGAUUAUAAACCUUCCUAAGAAUAAUAUAUGCCGGAAAUAGUAAGCUCAGGGUGCUUAUUCUCGAAAUUACUUAAUUUUCCAAUAAGAAAAUGGAGGUUCAAUUUUGAUAGGGUCUACAAGAUCAGGUUUAAAAUGAAGUUGAUCUGGUUGAGCCCCGCGCACUCCGGGAGGUCGAUCUGGUUGAGCCCCGCGCUCACAUUGACGACGCAGCGCAGCGACGGGACGGCGUCGAAUAGCUUGGCGUCGACAAGGACGCUCCCGCGGCCGGGGAUUGCUGACCGGCUUUCUCCCCUGUUCCUUCGCUAAUGUACAGAUCCAACUGUGGAUAUCGCGGGACAUACUCUGCCUUCUCAUUGCCAAUCCAAUCGAUCAUCAAAGGCCAAAAUUAAGCUGCCAAGACACGACACACAAUAGUUAUCCAAGUGGCAUGCCACAGGAACCAAUCAGUUGAGAUCAAGAUUACCAAAACGGCCCAUGGCGGCCGCCGCGGAGACGCCUCCGUCCGUCAGCGGGAAGCCACCACUCCUCCUCCUGCGCCGCACCACCGGCCGUCUCGCCGCCGCGCUGCGCUCGCGCUUCCAGGUCCUCAGCUUCCACGACUCGGGGGGCGCUCCCCUCCAUGCCUUCCUCGCCGCCUCCGGCGCCUCGGAUCCCCCGCGCGCCGCCCUCGUCCCCGGCGGAGGCGGCAUCGCCGUCGACGCCGCCUUCCUCGACGCGGCGCCGCACCUCCGCUGCGUCGUGACCACCUCCGUCGGCACGGACCACAUCGACCUCGCCGAGUGCGCGCGCAGGGGCGUCGUCGUCGCCGGCGCCGGCGGCAUCUUCUCGGCCGACGUGGCCGAUCACGCCGUCGGACUCCUCAUCGACGUGCUCCGCCGCGUCUCGGCGGCUGACCGGUACGCCCGGCGCGGGCUCUGGCCGGUGCGCGGGGAUUACCCGCUUGCCUCCAAGGUUCGUCAACGUUUCUUGUAUUACAGUAGUUCACACUUCCAAUUGCUUAUGAAGGAAUUGUUCAAGCACACCAACAUCGGAGAACUAGAAUUCGCUCUGUUUUUGUGUUCAUAAGAGCAAAAACAUGGCUCGACUUGGCUUCGAUCAAACUGGGCUGGGGAGACAUCUCUGUUCUUCAUAUUUUCAGGACCUAUAAAUACACAGUUUUAAAAAUUGGGGACAGAUUUGAUGCCGUUGAGAACCUCCAAUGUAUCUUACUCUACAAAUAAUUACCCCAGCUGAAAGUGAUUCCAAAUGCUAAUAUAUAUUUCUCAUGUUGUACCAGCUUAGUGGCAAACGGGUCGGCAUCAUCGGUCUGGGGCGCAUUGGUUCAUCAAUCGCAAAGAGACUCCAAGCAUUUGGCUGUGUCAUCCAUUACUACUCUAGAAGACCCAAGGAGACCGUCUCCUUCAAACACUUCCCUGAUGUCACCGGCCUUGCCGUUGAAUCCGAUGUACUCGUGGUCGCCUGCGCCCUGAACGACCAAACACGGCAUGUUGUCAACAAGGAUGUCCUAGAGGCACUAGGAAAAGAUGGUGUCCUGGUGAACAUCGCCCGGGGUGGGAAUGUCGACGAGGCAGCAAUGGUCAGGGCGCUAAAGGAGGGAGAGAUAGCCGGUGCGGGACUCGACGUCUUUGAGACGGAGCCUGCCGUGCCACCGGAGUUCUUCUCCAUGGACAAUGUUGUGCUCACGCCACAUGAUGCCGCCUUUACCACUGAGUCAGGCUGUGACCUGUGCGACCUCAUGGUCACGAACCUAGAGGCGUUCUUCCAAGGUAAACCAUUGCUCACGCCUGUCCUUCCCGAUUAAAACAGCAGUCACACGAUCCAAAUCGAUCAGGUAUUCAAGUUGCAUAUACUCCCUCCCUCCGUUACUUAAAUUAGGUCGUAUAUUGUUUUCUUUGACAGAGCCUUUGACCAAGGAUUAUUCCAUCGACGUAUGACUUAUGUGAUACAAAACAUAACUAUAAACAAGUAUUUUUGAAUACGAAUACAAUGAUAUCAAUUUUCUGGACGCUGCUAAUGCGCGACCGUGCGCGCGAUGGUACGGCCGCGCGUACGCGCGAUGGUACGGCCGCGCGUACGAGUCACAGGCAGCAGUAUGGUAUGAAGACUGUGUGCAUGCAUGCGAGCAAGUCGAUACUUGCAAAAUUUUAAACUUUGAAAAGCUGAAACUUUCAAACCGUUUACUCGAUUUAAAAUUCGUCUUGACGGUUAGCUUUGUCUCGACGAGAUCUUCGAAACUAGGUCUCAUGUUGUUAUGUUUCGACAAAAAUAAAUCAAUCCUAAAAGUUAACAUCUAAUAAUAUACGAAGUUACCACUCCGUUAAUAAUAAGUUGCCAUGUGGCAGCUUCAUACAAAAUAGGGGCGAUAUCUCACGAAUGAAAGUUACCACCCAGUAAUAUACAAAAUACCACUUUGUUAAAUAAUAAGUUGGCAUGUGGCAGCUUCUUGCAAAAUAGGGGUGGUAUCUCGCGAAUGAAAGUUACCCACCAAUAAUAUACAAAAAUACCACUCCGUUAAUAAUAAGUUGCCAUGUGACAGCUUCAUACAAAAUAGGGGUGGUAUCUCGCGAAUGAAAAUUACCACCUAAUAAUAUACAAAAAUACCGCUCUGUUAAUAAUAAGUUGCCAUGUGGCAGCUUCUUACAAAAUAGGGGUGGUAUCUCACGUUUGAAAGUUUACACCCAAUAAUAUACGAAUAUACUAGUCUGUUAAUAACAAGUUACCACGUAGUAAUUCAUAUUAAAUAGGGAUGGUAACUCGUGAAUGAAAAUUACCAUCCAAUAAUAUACGAAGUUGUCACUCUUUUAUUAACAAGUUACCACUUCUUACAACAUGACAACUUCUUUCAAAAUAGGAUGUUAACUUGUGCAUUUCUGCUUGGUAACUAAAGAGUUCAAUUUUUUUUUAUCAAAACACAUUAGAAUGGGAUUUAGAUUUAAAGCAUUCGUCGAUACGAAACCAACGGUGAAAACGGAUUAUGAAUAGGACAAACGGUUUGUGCUACAGAACAUUUUAAAGUUCUAAAAAUGAAGUAGCACACGUCUCAAACACUUAACCAGCUCACUGCGGUCCAUGCCAAAGAAACCAGCGCAUGCAUACACAAAAUUUCAUGGGACGGUGCAUGCAACCGCGUGUGCGCGCGGAUACGAACGGACGUUUUAGGUAAUUUUAUUUCACAAAAGUUAUAUAUUAAUAGACUAAUUUUUGAUCAAAAACUCGAUCAAGGAAACAAUAUAAACCUUAAUUUAAGGUACAGAGGGAGUACAAUACUAGCUCUAGCUGGCUUGUACCAAGGCCCAAUCAAUGGCGAAAAUACUGGUGGAGGACUGGUGGUUACAUAAAAACACGCAUCAAUUGGCUCCGCCAUGAUAUAUGGGAUCGCCACGCGCUGCUGGCUCCAGUCUCACGGCACAACAUGCAGUGUCCGAUAGUUGUAGUGUCCGAUAGUUGUCAGUGGCGUAGCCAGGGGGGUUGCCGGGUGGUCCAUGGACCACCAUGAGAUUUUCCAAUCCUUUAUAUAACAUAGUUAAAAAAAAUCAAAACAUCAAAAUAACUAAAUUUAUAUGAAUAUUUUCACUGUUGGACCACCCUGAAAAUUUUAGCUGGCUACGCCACUGAUAGUUGUAGACAUGGAAUGAGCAUGCAUGCACAUCCUAUGUUCUUCUUUUCAUUAAUAAUUGUUUGAAGAUAUUUUUUCUAGCAUUUCUUUUUGGGGAGCGCUAGGCGUCGGUCGGGCGAUCUUGGGACAAAAUCGGUCUCCUUCCGCGCCAUACGAUUGGAAUGCCCACGUUUGUUGGAUCUCAUGGCCUCGUCCAUCUUCUUCGUGUCUCUCUAGUCUCCCGCAACGGAAGAAAAAUUCCCCAUCCUCGUCUCCCCGCACACCACCCAGUCCAUGGACCUCUUCACGGCAUCAUGCUGGCUUGCAGCACCCUCGGUGGCUGGCCGCACCGCCGGUGCGAGACGGCGCCGCCUUGCAGCCCCGCCACCUGCCGUCGUCAUUGCCUUGCCAGAUUGCCGGCGUGAGGGGCCGGCUUGCAGCAACGGUGCAUGCAUGUCACAGCUCCAAGCAUCCUCCUUCGCAGCACCGCCGCUCACCCGUCGCAGCAUCGCCUCGCGGCACCGUCGAACCCCCCUCGCAACACCACUGACCUGGCCUCACAGCAACGCCACAUCUCGUUUGAAGCACCGACGACCUCCGUGCCAUUAUUUCGGUGCUUACGACUUUACCUCUAUAUAUGGAAUUAGCAUCAUGUUUGCACCUGUCAUUAGCACUAGCUGUCCUUAUGCAAUUCCUUAUAAAUGUUGAGCCCUUUUACGGUGAUUGGCAAGUACUUUUCAGUACUUCUCAGUACUCCCGUGAAAAUUAAUUCGGUCCGUUGAUUAUCGGGUCACCUAGGCAUUCCAGUUAGGGAUGUCAAUCGAAAACCUUGCCCAAAAAUCGGCAAAGCAGCAGUGCAGCGGAGUCGUGACAGUGGCAGAAGUUGGCUCCGGCGAGGUGGCAUGCAGGCAACGCUGCUGCAUACGUGGCUGCUGCGAGGAGAGGGAGCUGCAUACGUGCCAUGAGUCCCAUGACUGCUGCGGAGAUCCUCAAACAGCUGCACGCGCAGACGGCUGCAUGCGUGGGGAUGCGCUGGAUGCGUGCUGUUGUGCGGAAGUCCGCCGUGAUUAUCUAAACCAAUCUAUAACCGUGUGCGUUCGUUCGUGGCAUCGCAGGGCUGUCUGACCCGGCCGAUCCAUUGCCCGGAUCUGCAGGCGUAAGUUUAGCGAGCCCCAAAAAUAAAUCGAUAAUUCUGAUUCUUUCCAGUACUUUUUAGUACUUUUCUUUCAGUACUUUCCAUUACUUUCUAUUUCUCCACAGUUGGAUCAACUAGAUUGGACGGUUCAUAAAAUCGCCAACCAUUGUAAAACUUGUAAUAAAUGUUAGUGCAAUCAACCUGAAUUCUGGUUCUAUUUAAUUGCAAUUUCUUGAAGGCUGGCACAGAGUUUGUGGGUUAGAACUAUGCAGGUAGUCUUGUCCUCCCUCUCUUUUAUUUAUGCUUAUUAAUUUUUUCCAUUAAUAGUGAAACUCAUCAUUAUUAUUUUCUUCUAAGGGCCUUGUGAUGUUUGUGGCCAAGUGGGCCAUGCAAGAUGAAAGCAAAGGAGAAGAGUUUCUUCUCCAUUGAUCUAAUCGAGUUCUUUUAGGAAUAUGUAGUGUGUAUGUUACUUCUGGAUUUUUACAUUUCGCUUCCAAUAUUUCUUUGCUUCUGGACACUUUCGUGAGGGAACGCAGAGGUUUCGUCGAAUAAGCAGUGAACAGGUAUUUAUUUCUCGUUUUGCCUUGCUGCGAUCUAUUUCUUUGUUGUCACUAAAAUUGCAUGCAGUUUACUACUUGCAAUCGAGCAUCGCAUGAAAUGCAAUUGAGGUAACACUGGAAUUGCAGCCCGGUUUUAAAUUUUGUUGAUUGUUACUUUUUUUACAUCACAGGAAUCCCAGUUGCGUAACACUGGCAUUGCACAUAGCCUAACAUGUGCAAUAGCAUGUCUUACACAUGCAAUUGAAAUUGUUUCUCAUUGCGCACCAGUAAUUAUGUUCAUUACUGUUUGAUUCUUAGUUUUCAAAUUGUCACUCAGUUAGUGUAUUGUGUUUCACUUUGUUGUAGCUGAAUGCGUGUAGGUGCCUGUUUAUUUAGUUCUUUAUGUGUCUGGUUUCUUUUUUAAUGUGCAGAUGACUGGUUUUUGGGCAGAAAUCAGGCGCCUGAAUUUUUGUGUGAAAUCAGGCGACUGAUUUCUGGGCAGAAAUCAGGCGCCUGCUGUAUAGACAGACCCAAUUAACAUAACAGCAUAAUAAGAAUUCCCAAACUUAAGCAUCUUCACACAAUACAUAGUCUCGUACACAAUCUUUACAACAAUAUCUUAGGACAGGAAGCACAAUCGACAAGUCCUAACUUUCACAUAAUAGUAAGCAUAUGUGAUAUGAAUCAAACCCCAUCAUUCAACAUUCAACAUCUCUCCAACCAUGCACAACAGUGCUUCACUAGCACGCUGUCUCUUUGGUGUUGUAAUUAACAAAUGGAGACAUGUGAUUGUCUUGUGGUGUUGGAUCUAUCUCUGUGUCAUUAAUUGUCCUAGUACAUGCCUUCACCGGUGCCUUUAUCUUUUGAGUAUAUGAUACAUAUCUCAUUCCGGUUGUGGACAACUUUAUUCCUGUAUAUAGCUACGUUUUCUUUUCUUUUUGAAAGGAUCCCUGCAAUAUAUUAAUAUCAAGGUGGAACUGAAGUAGCUCCACAGGAUGUUACAACCCAAGAUAAGGCCUGAGGACAAGCCAGAUAAAUGAAAAUUACAUCAACACCUUCAGUGAACACGUGCACAACAUACAGACUAGUAAGACUCCACGCGGCCGUCCGCCUUGCUUGGGUUGCCACGCACGAGCACACGCGUCCGAUGGACUGAUCUGCCGCCGACAAAUAUUCAAUUCGCCAUGGGCGAACGUCGUUGAGGUCGGCCGCCACCAGCAGACAGAGAAGCCAAUCGGACCAAAAACCUCCCGAUGAUAUGAAACCGGAGGUUGAAGAUGCCGUCAAGACUGAAAAUGUUGGAGAAGAACCUGCCUUGACAGCAAUUGGAGGAGCCGUCGACGCCAAAACAUCCUUUUUAGCGCAAGCAUCAGACGGCCAGUACUGAAAAUUGCCCUGGAACGGGCUGCAACCACUAACCGGGGUCCUGUGAAGAGCCACCGCACCCGUGGCAUGUUCGCCAUGCCCAAGAACCGCGUCGCGGGCCUCCGAAGUGGAGGUUGAUAAGGGCAGUGUCGACCAAUCAAACGGAUCCAGUAACAUUGACUAGCCUUGCUCCAAUGCAAACAAUGAGGAGGAAAAACUUCAUCGGAGCAAAACAGAGAAGAGACCAAAGGUUUUAAAGGGGAAAUAUGUCUCAACUCAAAACCAGUCCACAAGGAACCCAUAGUGGUUGAGAUUGAAGAUUCAGAGCAAACUAGCCGGAAGCGGAUUUUUUGAAGAUUAAAUCAGGCAGGUCAACAACGGAAGGAUUGCAGGGCAAAUUAUUGGAUUCGCUGGGAAGAGAGAGGCAAUUAUUUAUAGAUGAUGCAGGGGUAGAGAUCAAACCGUCGGCAUCCUGUCCGGGAGACCCGGCACCAAUUCCGUCAGCAAGAACUACCACACUUCCAUGCCGCCGGAGCCUCCCCGCCAGCGACAAGAAUCCUCCCGAAAACGCCUCUAAGGCAACUGCAACUACGAUAAUGUACAAGGAGAUGAAGGUGGCUGGCCUGGCCUCCCCUCCCCUUCCUCUCCGGGCAGCAAAGCCGCUGGAGAGUUCUCUUUGGGGAGAGGAGGCGGCGAGAGGGCUCGGAGUUGUAGCAAUAGGAAGAGAGGAGAGAGAAAGAAAAGAAGAAAUGAACCCCAGCUACUUUUUCUUUAGUCUUGAUUCAAAUUUUCACUUUUGUGACAUCUCCACGCUUCUUAUUACAACUAUUACGGCGUUAUUGUACACAUGUGGUUUCCAUCCAUUUUGAACAUGAACACCAUUUUUGUGAUGCUCAACAAGCACGUCCAACGAUGCUUGGUCCAUCUCAAGAGACCAUUGCACAUAGUUCCUAGCACUGAGCUCCAGACAAAAAAAACGCAAACGACACGCCUUCCUCGUGGUACGCAUGUGCGCGUGCAUCAGAUGGGAUCUCAGCCCUUCAAGUUGUCAACGUUCAGAUGCUGUCUCGUUGGAAGAAGAUACUCACGACCCAAAUCAUCCUUGGUCUUGAUCAGUUCCAAAUGGGUUGUUGUAGGAGAGUCUCAGUGUUAAUCACUACUAGUAGCACAGAUAAUUCCGUCCGCUCCCAAUUAAAUCGGUUGUUAGAGAGUACUAGAAUCAAUUAGCACAAAUCAGCAGCUGCUGAUUCCUGUCUCAUUCCAUGAUUCCAUCGCCUCCCAAUUCACCAAGUCCCAACCGGCCGGGCGAUCCCAGAUUCCCAGCGCAAAACAAUGCCGGCGCCCACCGGCGAGAGGCCGCUGGUGCUCCUGGCGCAGCCGCUCUUCCCUGAGUUAGCCGCCGCGCUCGCCGGCCGCUUCCGGUUCGCUCUUGCCGCGGACGCCGACCCGGCGGCCGCGGCCGAGGCGAGGGUGCUGCUCGUGCCGAGGCUCGCGCCGGUCACGGCCCAGCUCCUGGGCGGGCUCCCGGCGCUGGAGCUGGUCGCGGCCACGACGGUGGGCGUCGACCACGUGGACCUCGAGGCGUGCCGGCGCCGCGGGCUCUGCGUCACCAACGCCGGCGCCGCGUUCUCCGUCGACUCCGCCGACUACGCCGUCGGGCUCGUGGUCGCGGCGCUCCGCAGGGUCGCCGCCGCCGACGCGUUCGUCCGGAGCGGCAGGUGGGCUGUCAACGGCGACUACCCUCUAACCACCAAGGUGAGCGGCAAGAGAGUGGGGAUCGUGGGGCUGGGCAACAUCGGCGCCCUCGUGGCGCGGCGGCUCGCGGCCUUCGGGUGCGCCGUCUCCUACCACUCCAGAUCCCCCAAACCGGCGGCGCCCUACAAGUUCUUCCCGGCGGUGCGCGACCUCGCAUCCGACAGCGACGUGCUGGUGCUGUCCUGCGCGCUGACGGAGGAGACGAGGCACAUGGUCAACCGGGAGGUGAUGGAGGCGCUGGGCAAGGACGGCGUGCUGGUCAACGUCGGCCGGGGCGGGCUCGUCGACGAGCCGGAGCUCGUCAGGUGCCUCCGCGAGGGCGUCAUCGGCGGCGCCGGCCUCGACGUGUACGAGGACGAGCCGGCCGUGCCGCGGGAGCUGUUGGGCAUGGACAACGUCGUGCUGUCGGGGCACAAGGCCGUGUCCACGACGGAGUCUAUCCGCGGUGUCGUUGAGAUCGUUGCAGCCAACCUCGACGCCUUCUUCUCUGGGAGGCCGUUGGUCAGCCCUGUACAACUCUGAAAUCAUUUGGUUUUGAUGGAAUGAAUCCGCCCUCCAAUGCUGUGUGCUUGUGAUUUCGUUUUGAGGAGGAGCAGCAAUUGCUUCAGCCUUCUCCUACGUCACGCCGUGCCUGUCCUCCCCGUACUGCCUCACCGUCUUGGUACGUACGUGCGCGCAACCUGUGAUAAUUUUUCAUGUCGAUGGUGCAGCAGAGCGCCGUGCGGUGCCACAGCGAAGACGUCGCGUCGAGAAGAUUAGCCGGUGUCCACGAGUGGUCGACGUGAUCGCUGCCGGGUUGCGAGCCAACUUCCCAGUGGAGGCACCUGGGUGUUGGACCAAGACGGACAAAACGGACGAGGGCUUAAACAAGCUAGCGUUUUUCGAAUGUUGAAAUUUCAGAAACUUUGUACGGAGUAAUUUCUAAAGGUUGAAUUCUUUUAGAAGUUGGAAUUUCUGAAAGAAGGAUUGUUCUGAAAGCUGAAAUCCUAAAAGUAAUUUUUCCAGUUACUCAAAAAAGUGAAAGUUAUAGUUUCUGAACACACAAUUGGUGCUCAAGUUUCUGAAAUCAAGCAUAAAAUGGGAGAAGGGAACCUGUUGGGAAAUAGGAAUCUACGAAAGCGACUGCUUGGCCGCUAUCCAAAGAGAUAAGUACUCUCUCUGAUUCUAAAUUCUUGAAUCAAAUUUGUCCAAAUAUGGAUGUACCUAUUCUUAAAAUGCGUCUAGAUACAUGUAAUAUUUUGACAACAAUUUAGGAUCGGAGGGAGUAUAUUACAAAACUGGACCAUUCAAAAUGUGGUUUAAACAUAUUUGGCAGGUUUUGCCAAAAAUCUUGUUCUCAGCCCAGUGUUAAAAUUCCAGCUUCAUUGAAAAACGACCGGCGGAAAAUGACAUUUUUCUUAGGCUCAAAUUUUGAAUUCAAAAAGAGUAAAUUACAAAUGUUCUUGUCACUUGUGAGCCUACUUUUAAAAUUUCAGCGCAUUUCGCCAAUAUGACCUGCCAAUCAACUCGGUUAAAACCCAUCACGUUUGCGAAAACCAUCUUCUGACUAGGUUGCCAGAGGGAAAUUUAAUCGGUAUGAACAGUUGGCUGUGAUUAGUUCAGAGUUGCAACAUGGACUUAUCUCAAUGCUAUACCACAUUGAAGCCCACGAUGAGGUUCAUUUUUUUGAGGGUAAAGACUGUAGGCAAAAAUGCCUACAGUCAUAUAUAUUAAAAAAGAGUAACUGUACAGAUGAAAAAUGAAAGAACAAACAUGAAAGAGCUAUCUGAAUCUAGCCAGCCAAGCGGCCAUGUUGGAGUAUUGUUUUCUUUUAGCUCUAUGAAAGACCAAAUUCAUCUCUUCUUUGAAAAGCUGCCUGCAUCUGUAGAGGUUGGGGGUUCGCUGGUUGAAGAUGAAGUCAUUUCGAACUUUCCAAAUGCUCCAAGCACCCAUGAUGAUAAUCUCCAUGAAGAAAGGAACCUUGAGUUUGCGUUUGAGUGAUUCCACGUUUAAAUGAACAUUUGCAACUGGAGUGAAGCUGCCACAUAAGUAGGCCCAGCAAGUUUUUGCAAAUGCACAGUGAAAGAACAGGUGAUCUCUUGUUUCUAAAUGUAGAACACCACAUAAGACACAAUCAUAUGAUGGGAGCUGAAAUGACCUCUUUUGAAGCAUUGCUCAAGUAUUGAGGCGAUUAAUGAGGAGCAUCCAGAAGAAGAAUUUGUGCUUCAGUUGGCAACAGGAUUCCCAGAGCCAUCCAAAAUCAGAUGGUAAUUCCAGGUGAUUAAUUUGAGCCUUAUAAGCCUCUGCUGGGAUGAAUGAGCCCUUGUUCCAAAUGUAAGUCCACAUGUCGUGACCAUCAGCUUGGGCAACAUUAUCCAGCAUAACAAGGAACUGGAUGAAUUGGUCAAAGGCAGUAAGUGACAAGGGGAGAUGAAAGAGAGUCUCCUUUUGUUCAUUCUGCAUGAAGUCUUGGACACUGGCAUGCUCGUUUCUGGCAAAGGAGUGGAGGUGCGGCCAUCUGUUUUCUAGGGUGUUCCCUUGCCAGUGAUCAAGUCCAAAAAAAUGUGGAGGCCCCAUUGCUAAUCUUUGCCACAGCAAGUCGCUUGAAAGUGUCAAUCAGUUUGAGAAUGUCUAACCACCAGAAAGAUUCAGUGGUUGGUUUUUGGGGAGGGAGACCAUUGUGGUAGUGUUUUUUCCGGACAAAUUGGACCCAUGGGAUGUCCAGCCUGUUAUAGUGUGCAGAUUCUUCAUGAGGAGUGUCUGAUUUUGUAUGUUGAUGUUAAUGACACCCAGGCCACCUUCUUUUUUAGGUCUGCAGACGAUCUCCCAAGCAGCAAGAGGUGGAUUCUAACGGGUGAGGUCUUGUCCUCUCCAUAAGCAAUGUCUUCUGAGUUUGUUAAUCUGUUCAAUGACACCUUUAAGAAGAAGGAAGGUGCUCAUGUAAAAAGAUGGCAGGGCCGACAAAACAGAGUUAACCAGCCGAUGAGGUUCAUCUCUGGACAUUAGACUUCCGUAUCCAUAUUUUGGUGAGUUUUAUCGAUACAGGACGUACAUACACUAUAUUUCGACGGCUCUUAAUUAUUUAACUCAACUUUAUAAGGAGAUGGGUAUCCAAGAAAAUAAAGUUGUUACAAUCAAAUCAAGGAGGGACGAUUAGAUCAGCAACCACGACCAUCAAAGUGAUAGCAGUUGAGCUCAUCGAUGGCCUUCUCGGCAUCCUCCCGGCGUUGGAAGACAACGCAGGCAAAGCCCCUACACACCUCCGGGGCGUUCAUGGCAACGUGCCACAUCCUCAGCGGCCCGAACCGGCGAAGAGCGCGGCGAGGCGAGCCCGGUCCGGGCAGCGCUCCGGCAUGUUGGUGACGCGCACGAAGCGGCGCAGGUAGACGCGGUGGCCGGACGGCGCUUCCGUGUCCUCCUUCCAGGCGGCGAACCUUGCCCUGCAGGACACGUACCCGGCCGGCGAAACCAGGUAGUCGUAGGGGCAGGCGAGCUCGCCGUGCUUCUCCUCCGCGUCCUCUUCCCCGCAGAUGCAGCACGGCUCGGCGCUCGGGUCCUUCCAGAAGUUGAUCAUCGUUCGUCGUGUCACCUGCAGCAGCGUCCUGUUCCAUUGAUUCGGUGCCUUGCCUUUUACUUGCAUCGGGCGCGUCCGAUCCGAGUCCCGAUCGAAUUGGAAUUGGACGUGUCCAGAUCCAGAGCUUCCAGUUAUAUCUGAGCAAUUAUAAAUUCACCGCAGGGUCGGCCGGCAGGAUCGCCAAGGGGAGGGCAAGUCGAGGAGGAGAUGGCCGGCCGCAGCCAACGGAGGAUGAUCAGCCACAAGAAGAAGAGAAAAACCAGAGCGGCAACGAUGAAGAAGAUUGUCAAGGAGGAGUCUACGCCUGUACGCCAGCUCCGCAAGGUUCGUACGUUUUUGGACAAACAAACCUGAGCUCUUGUUUAAUUUGCUACCUACUUUCUCCCUUUAAAUUCUUGUACUCUCCAUGUCUAACAAAAAAUGUCUUAAGUUUGUCAAAAUUUGGAUGUAUCCAGACAUGAGUUAGUGUAUAGACGCAUUCAAAUUUAGUCAAAGUUGAAAUAUCAUUUUGUUGGACAGAGAAAAUAGUUGUUUUAGUAUAAAUUUAAACUAAAACAAUGAGAAAAUUUUAGGAAAAGGAGAAUAGAUAAUUAUUGUACCUCCGAAGUGACUUGUCAACAAAUACGAGUACCCACACAUCUGAAAAGCCAUCCGACUCAAAUCCUCUGCCGCGGGCAUGGGACGCAUAAGCCGGCAGCAGGACACGGUGGGCGAGGCUUGUUAAGUUCCUAUACAACAUUUACUACAGUACUUUCUUAAGAAAUAAAGAGGGAUGCUAGCACAACCCCUAAUCACCCCAUCCUCUAAUAAAAUUCCACUUGACACCCUCUAGCAGAUCCUCUAAAUAAUGUUCUUUUUAACGAAAACACCGGCACCGAUUCAAUUUAAGAGUCUGAAUGUAAAGGAACGCGAAUGCGCCUUAGCCAUAAAAGGUAAAGAAACACCCUCAAGCAUGUAUGUUUAGAUCAGCAUGGGGUGAUUUUUACAAUGUAUACCGUAUUCCAAUGAAAAAUUAGCACCAUGAAAUUUUAGGCCAAUGUUUGCCGCAUUGCCAUUGUUUCCAUCCAUGGCCUCGACACAACACCCCGUCCUCCCCCUCCCGGAUCGUGCCACGGCCCCUUCGCCCCGCCCUUUGCUGCCUUUGUGAGAGUGUUCCUCCCAACACCCCCAACACGGUGGGGCUUGCGCCACUGGCGGAACAAGAUGACUCAUGGAGUCAGGGCAAAUCCAUGCAACCGCUCCGAGAGAUAAUUGCCCAAAAAUGUUAGCCUCCAAUCACUUAAUUAGCCAACACUACAUCCGUUCCUAUAAAUAUAACAUGUUCUACUUUUGUGCGAGAUCAAACUUCUUCAAAUUUGAUCUAAUCUCUAUACAGAAUAACAAUAUUUUUUCCGAAACCAAAGAAAUAUACUAAUAUUAGUCCUGUUCGUUUGGCUCUGAUUUGACUAUGCUUAUUAUUCUUGUUGUUUAUUCCAUUUCUAUGAACCAAACAACCAAGGAAAAUCGUUCUGUUUUUGCAUAUACAUAAGUAUCACAUUUGUGUCUUUAUUUCAUGUUUUUCUCAGACAAGGAGCGCCGCAGUGACAAGAGUACGUGUGACGUGUGUGGAAUAGGCAGAAUUCACGAACAGGAUGAGUUCUGCCCCUACAACUACAUGCACGGGGUUUUCGGCCUCAGGACCUGCAGAGAGCGGUGCCAACCGGGGAUGCAUCCGCAGUUGCUAGCCUUCGCCCAUGGGAGCCACCACCAUCUACGGCGUGUUGUACGCGUGACCAAUGUUCCGAUGAGCGUCAUCCGCGGCAAAAGCGAGCUGCGUGGGCUCUUCAGGCAGUUCGGGCCACUUGCUAGGCGCAACCUCACGACCUUGAGCCUCGAUGACUCCGUCGGCUUCGGGUGGGUGGCGUUCGAGAGCAGUGAGGAUGCGGAGGAGGCCAUCGACAAGCUCAACGGCCACCUCGUCGGCGAUCGCAAGCUCCGAGUUACUGGCUCUAUCCUCACACCUGAAUGCUUCUAUUUUCAUUAGAUGAUCAGGGAGUCGCGCCCCCCGUUUCCAAUUUCAUUGAAACCCAUAGAAAAACAACAGAACAUGGUCUUUGUAACAGACAACAUAGAAGGUAAUGUUCUAAAGCCAUAUCCAAAAGAUCACCACGCAAGGGGAAAGAUCAAGCCCCGCAAGGCGCCGAGCAAGCAGCACAGGAAGACCGAAGCCUGGACUUCUUCAUGGCCAUGGGCGAUGCCGGGGAGUGCAGCUCCAAAGGUCCGGUUUUUUCAACUAGGCUAGAAACCCGAAUAAACCCGAAACACCUGGUCAAUAUGUAAAAUCACAGUGCCCAACGGAAUCAACUCGAGAAGAGCAUCUUCAGCAGAGCUCCUAAACAGGGUCUUGUUUUUAAGGACCGGAGGUAAAAAAAACUCUUUUGAACAGGAUCACUGUUAGAGUCUCUAUUCUGAAGAGACCCCUUGAUUAGCCCUCAAGCCCCCGUUCCUAGGGAACCCCAACCCCCAAGGAGAGCCCCUGCUUUCUUUCUUCCAACGCCAUGUCAUCUUUCUUCCUCCUUCCUGCGCGUGCCUUCGUCGCCGCCCCCGCGCCUCACCGGCGGCUGCCUCUGCCUCACCGUAGCCGCGCCUUGCUGCCGGCCCACCCCCGCGCCCCGUGCGGCACUUCGUUGCCCGCAGCCAUGGCCACCGACGCCCUUGGCCCCGCCCGCCGACGCAUCUUCGCCGCCCCUGAGCCCCGCACAGCACCGCGCCGCCAAUCCCGUCGCCCAUGACGAACGCCGAUGUCUGCCCUGCACCGAACCGCCUCCAUCGUCCCCACACGUCUUCUUCCACCCGUCAGCCCCCUCCUCCUCAUGUUCCUCCCCCUUGGGCCGCUGCUGCCCCGGGCACUUCCGAUGUCCGUCGUCCGCGCAUCGGGCACCUGGACCUGCUGAUGCUGCACCCCGUAUCGGCUUGGGCCGCCGCCCCGGUCUCCCCGUCGUCGGCCGCCGCGCCCGCGCACCGCGCCGCCAGCUUCCCCGUACCGAGUCUCCACAAUCCCACCUUCGGCAGACAUCCGCACCUCGGGCCGCUGCUGCCCAGCGCACGGCACUGCCAACCGCCGGCGGCGACCGCCCAGCGUCAAGGCUCACCGACGUCGCCGAUCUGGCCGACGCCAAAUUGCUCUGUCCAUCUCAUGGAGAAGAAAGGGGCUCGUGGAGAAGAAGGAAGAAAAAAAAGGAAAAGAAAAAGAAAAGUCCAGUCACUGAAAAGUGGGUCUCAUAUGUCAUGCUGAAGCUGCUCAACUCCCUCCGGCCCGGGCCGAAAACUUUUAUCGGGACGAUUUUGUGGAACCUGGUCGGUCAUUUUUUCCUCGCUCAAACAAUAUAUACUAAAAUCUGUGACAAAUAAUAUGAGUCAGAGGGAGUACAGAAUUCACGGACGCCAGCCAGCAAAACUUCAUUAUAUGGGAGUGUUUACACAACGCCGGGGAGAUUCUACAAAAGCAACUCUUCCCCAAAACGGCGGCCACAAGAGGUAUAUAUAACAGAAAGAUUAGGUCAAAACAAAUCCGUAUGACCUGGAGCUCACGUUGUCUCGGGGACCUCGCGCUUCAACUGGAGAUUGCCCUCAACAUCAUUGCCAAUCUGGAUCGUGCUAUGGAUCAUCGCCCUCUUACGGCCGAUGACCUGCGUAAGGAUCUCAAGGCCCGCGUACUUGGGCUGGCGGCCAUUGAUCGGGUCAAGUGGAGACAGCGUUUCCGAAUCUGCUGGCUGCGAAUGGGUGACGCUAACACCAAGUUUUCCAUCUGAAAGCUAGUGCUCCCCGGCGUAGGAAUUUCAUCCGAUUUCUCAACACUGAUUCAGGAAUCUGCACCUUGCACGCUGACAAGGCCACGGCAAUUCGCGAACACUUCGUCAAUGCACUAGGCACGCCCUCUGCUUUUCCUCACUCGAUCAACUGGGAGCUCCUCGGCCUCUCUCGCCUUGAUCUUGCUGCGCUCGACGCCCCUUCACCUUGGAGGAGAUUCAUUCUGCCAUUCAAGCUCUGCCUUCCGACAAAGGUCCGGACCCAAUGGAUUUCCAGGUCUUUUUUUCAAAUCAUGUUGGGACACUAUUAAAGAUUCCAUCUUCCUUGCUGUCCAGUCCUUUGCCAAUUCUGCCGGUGCUAAUUUCGGUUGCCUGAACUCUGCCUGUAUCACUCUUCUGCCUAAGAAGGCUGUCCCAACAUGCAUGGGGGAC